rnacentral:lncRNA from 1 species
CUCUGCUGACACCUUGCAACUGGCUUCUUCAAGUACUACCCGGAUUGUUGCACUGGGUUGAACCUUCAACUAAAACAGCGACGAAGUGAGCCAAAACUCAUCUCCGAGACCUACCCCCUUACAGGGAGUAGUCUUACUUUCUCCUGACUAGGAACAAUUGGACUAUUGUCCUUGAAAAAUAACCAACACUUCUCUUGCUUACAAAGGCCCUCACUUUGAAAACUGAAACUUCACCGAUUCAUCAAAAUAGAGUAAUGACGGCGCACUUUCAUCCCAGCAAGAUUUGGAACUUAAUCCUCAGUUGCUGAUGGGAGAUUCCACAUAAAAGUGACUCUCAUUUAGCUCAGGGACACAUUGACUCUUGACUAACUUUCCCAUAAGUUCUAACUACUGGCAUGACUGUCCUGCUUCUAGCUUGACUUCGGUGUCGAGUUGCAUAGUUGAUUCCUCAAAACUGAACUGAUCGACUCUGCAUUGGAACUGACACAACUUGAGGAGUUAGGGAUGUGAUGACGCUGACGUCUUACCGGGGAACAACCCUCUAAGAUGUGCCCUGUCAUACAUCUUCCAUGGACACUUUGCAAAAACUGCGCUUGAAAACCAUAACCACAAUAGGUAGCAUAUAUUACUCCUGGGAUUGGUGGUGGCUUAGCUGUGCUGAUUUGCUGAGGACUUGGUGGCGUACUAUCUGAGGUUGCGGGUGCUUCCUCUUUGAAAACAAACUGACUAUCGCUCUGAUCCUGAUUCCGGCUUGCAUCUGAGCUUGUACUUGUUGUUGGAGACACUGUUGUUGCAUCUGUUGCAUCGGACUUUGCAUCUCCCGCAUCAAUACAUCCAUCAUCUAAUCUUGGACACCAAAUGUUGAUCACGAGCAGGGUUCUUCUGGCACUGGGAUACCUUGUAGCUUUCAACUGAACCAUUGAUUGGUGACUUUAAUACACCGUCGUUGCUCUUCUCUCUAACACUGACUAUCUUCUGCCAGGGCGGAAGAGAGGAGGAAGAGAGGGGUUGCUAAAGAUAAGGUACUAAACCACUUGCCUACUGAUCUGUCGUGAGUAGACUUUUAUUCUUCAAGUUGCUUAAGCAAACAACCUAGUAUGGUCGCAUCCCCACCAAUGAUGCAAACCAUACCCCUACACACAAGCAAACAACACACGAUCUAGAAAGCUAACGGAACUACUCUUCUGGGAAAGAUUGGGUUUAGGUCAUCUCCGAGAAAACAUCACUUGAUCUUCGCAGAACGACGACUCUGAACUGAUCUUCUCGCUCCUUGCACGAAGCUUGAGGCUCGAAUUGACUUGACUUCCGAACAGACAUGAAGCUGACAGCUGGUCCUCUAGGUUUGACAACUAAAAGAAUUGGAGAGACUGGGAGGAGAAUUUUGAAAAACUGUUUGACAAAGAAUUGCCGAAGGGCGAGAGGAGACAAUUUGCAAAUAGGGUUUUCAGAAAACUUGUCCUUAGGGUUUGACCAUUUGGCUCAACCUACAGUCGAGUUGGCUCUGAUACCACUUUGUCACGCCCAGAAAUUUAGCCCAAAUUUCCAGACUAUUUUGUGUAUUAAAUCCCUGUCCAGGACCAGCCAGGGUACACAAAACAACAAGUAUCUCGCCGCGCCGCCGUCCGCCGUCCAUCUCGGCCUCCCCUUCUUCCUCCUCCCGCCGGCCCGCGUGGCUGCCACGAAGGCGCCACGUCGGCGCCAGCUCGGCCGGACCGGGUCAAGCUGACCCCGGUAAGCCGCUCCCUCCGUCUCCCGCUCGCGCGCGCGGUCCACCGCGAGCCGUGAGGCUGCGCGUGGGCCCGACGCGUCUCGGUCCAUCCGGCGCACCGCCCGUGCGCCAUCCCCACCGAACCCUAGCGCCGCCCUCACGUGCGCCCAUCCCACCGUGGGCCGUGUCACCGACAAGCGGGCCCCACCUGGGACCCGCGAGGUGCACUCGGUCCACCGGACCGCUCCCUCUCUCUUCCGCGCGCCCUAAUGGGCCGCCUUCCCCGCGCCCACGCCGGCCCAAAUGGCUCGGCCGAGCCUCCUUCAACACUCGGGCUGCGCCCUUGCCGCCCGAAAAAGUCUAAUAUACAUCCCUCGUCCAUUUCCUUUUCCAUAAAUCAAUUCCUUAUUAUUCCGAAAUUCCAUAAAUCAAUUCCUUUGGUCCCACACAUCAGUGAAUGUCAAUAAUAUUCUUGAGAAUAUUAUUUCUAUAAAUUCCAUAAACCAUUCCUUACAUUCCAGAAAAUUCUGAUAAAUCAUUUCCUAGUCUGGAAAAUCCCAUUCGAGCUUCCAAAAUUCAUAUCUCUCAAUCCGUAGCUCCGAUUGACUCCGUUCAACUUCCGGUACUGCCGUAAAAUUGAGAUAUAUUUAAUGGCACUAUUAAUUAGUCUAAAUAGGGUCUUUCUUUUGGUCUUUCGUUUAGGUUUUGAUUGUUUGCGUAUAGCCGCGGUUACCGGAUUUUCGUCGAUCAGGGAUUUCUCGUAGAUUCGUGAAGCUUCGUGAAGACCUUGAGCAAGGAAAGUCACCCUUUGAUCAAUUUCUCCUAUAAUUGGAAAAUCAUUAUUAUUUUGUUUGCAACUUGCAUUUUUAGAGUCACACACAUAUAACAUGCUUGGCCUCGGUUUGCGUGACAAACCGACGGACCUACCCAGUAGUCGCACUAAUUCCUGUAGGUUGUACUACCCUGAUUCCUUGUCGCUCCAUCCUUGUGGUACUUCGGUAUUCGUGCUCUCUGAGUGCGUAUACCAAAUAUUCCACAUACACCGUCGAUUGUCGAAAAUUUGGGAAAUGGGUUUGAGAAGCCUUGAAAACCCGACAUGUGGUGUCGGUGUGUUUGAAAAUAAAAUGAAUUGUGAAAAUUCGCGAUGCGGGUGCCGUGCCUAUGUGGCACUGUCUCGUAUUUGCAUAUAAGGACCAAUUCCUGUGGGAAACUCAUCAAGCAUAACAAAGUGCAACCACAAGGUGGAAUGGGACACCCUGGCUAAGUAACUAGUCGGUUCAGGGAAACCUCGCAUGCCAAUAGUUGGGAACGCCGGGGCGGGGUCGAUUGGAGCCAAACCGGGUUCCUGGUAAGCAAGAAAGAGAAGCUUGCUGAAUUACCGAUCGAGGUGGUUGGAGUUUGAUUUGUGAAAACUAAAAUGGCCUAUAUUUAUGUGAGGAUUUGAUCCUUCUAUGUGGCAUGAGGUAUCCCUGGGUCGGCUUGGGAAAGGCUUUGUUGCGAACCUCCGAUACCGACGGGUGUUCGGAAUAAGUUCGUAUCUUGUGGGUAAAGUGUACCCCUCUGCAGAGGUUAACUAACUGUUCGAACAGCCGUGCCCACGGUCAUGGGCGGAUGUGAGGUGGUUCCCGUUGCGUAGAUUUGUUUGCCUGUGCUUUGUGAAAAGUUGUUGUGGGAUAGGAAUCGUAACCAGAAUCAGCCUAUGUGGCAGAUGGAUGGCCUGAGUGGUCAGAAACGAAUCUGUGUGAUUCGGGAUGUCUACGGGCAUCAUAGACUAGGCUUCCCGAGUGGAAGCGGAAUGUUGUGCUGCUGGGCAGCUGGACUCUGGGAGUCCGAGAAAAUGAAUAAGGCUCUGGGAGCCGCUUAAUCAAGUGAAAUGGCUCUGGGAGCCGAGAAGUAAUGAUCUGACCCGGGAGGUCGGUCAUUAUCAAUUGAGUUGUUGAAAAACAUCUCUUAAAGUUGAAUCGAGACGCAAGUCUCUUUUCGACCCAAACCUGAAAAGAAAUAAAUCACUUAGUGGUUUCAAAAUGGAUUUCAAAUAAAAGAUUUGCAAAACAACCUUGCCUCUCUUCCAAGCUUGCAUUAAACACCUAAAUUCCCGUGGCUUGUUGAGUACGAAAGUACUCACCCUUGCUCUAUAUAUGUAUAUAUAGUUCCUCCGUCGUGAAGUGAAGAUGAAGUGAAGUGAAGAUUAGGGUUUCGUCCUGGUUCCCAGCCGUCGCCUGUGGCGUUGGGUGUUAGUCCGUUGGUUCCACUGCUGCUGCUGUUGGUGUUUCCUCAUCCGUGACGUCGGUUGCAUUCUCGGGCUGCUCUUGGUUCCGCUGCUGCUGCUGUUGUUGGUGUUUCCUCGUCCGUGACGUCGGUUGCAUUCUCGGGCUGUUCUAAGCUGCAACCUAAGUUAAGGUAAAUAAGUCCUCUAUUUAUUUUAAGGAUUUGCAAUGAUUCAUAUUUGUCACCGUGGGUACCAGCACUAUGUCCUGGGACUGGUAACGAGAUCGCGGUUUCGUAGGAAGCGGUUCGCGCCGUUAUUCCUACGACACGCUCCUAUCAGGUGCCGUUGUACGGCGGUGCCGGAUUGGGGUGUGACACAUGCUGCGUGAACGAUGACAUGAAUUUUUUUUAUUUUUUCUUCCUUCUUCCCUCUUUUUUCCCCCUUCUUAUCUUUUUUUUCUCCACUUUGCCUCCUUCCUCUCCCUUCCGCAGUAUUUUUCUCCACACGAGGUGAGGAAGGAGAAAAAAGAUGGGAAGAAAAAAAAGGGAAAAAAUUUAGCUAUGUCAUCGUCCACGUGGCAUGUCACAUAGAGAAGACCACGGUUAAACUAGGCUUUGGACCGGGAUGAUACAUUAAACCAAGUUUAAGAAUCUCGAUACGUGUUUUGCAAGUUCGUGGAUCUAAGUGAAACUUCGUUGCAAGUUUAAUGACCGCUAAUGUAAUUAACUCUUAUAAAAUUGUAGCAUCCGGACAUUAAGCAAGCCAUUUCAGAAAUGGCUACCAAUACCCUGCACCUGCAGGCGAUUGCAUUAGCAGCAGUCUUGCUCAUCUGUCGCCUUUCGCCGGUGACACCAGCAGCGUCGGCUCAGCAGCUGACAGGCUGCCGCGACAAGUGCGGAAACAUCAACGUUCCCUACCCCUUCGGCAUCGGCGCCCGCUGCGCCCGCGAUGAAGGCUUCCAGCUCAACUGCGACGACAGCGCGUCGCCACCGCGCCUACUCACGCUUCAGUUCGAGCAACACCCGCAGCUCGUCAGCCUGUCCCUGGCCGAUGGCGAGGCCCGGGUCCUCCUCAAACCGGAAAGCAAGUGCUACCCUCCUCCAGAAGAGAGGUCCUCCGACGUCCCCACCUCCUCGUACACGUCCAUCAACGGCAGCACCACCUACCGCUACUCGCCGGAGAAGAACCGCCUCGUCGCGCUCGGCUGCCCCAACCUCGGCUACAUCGUCGACGGCUCCGGCAACUACGUCAGCGGCUGCAUGUCCGCGUGCCGCCGCCCGUCGCUGGGCAAUGAUACAGUGCCGCGGUUGCCGGGGCGGUGCACCGGCGAGCGGUGCUGCCAGAGCAUCAUACCACCUACCCUCAACUUCUACGUGCCGCGGAUGUUCAACUUCGAGAACGGGACGGCGGCGGUGGACAACGAGCUCCGCGGCGGCACGACGCCGUGCAGGUACGUGUUCCUGGUGGAGCACACCUGGAUCAACACCGUGUACAACGACACGAAGGAUUUCAACCGGAGCGACUUCGAGGCCGUGCCCGUCGUGCUCGACUGGGCAAUCCGGAACGUCUACAACUGCAGCGCCGCCAAGCGCAACGCGACGGACUACGCGUGCCGGAGCACGAACAGUGAGUGCUUCGACACCAUCGACGGCCAGGGCUACCGGUGCAACUGCUGCCAGGGCUACGAGGGCAACCCCUACCUCGACGGUGGAUGCACAGGUAGCAGUCAUCUUAAUUAACUCUGUCAAUUAAUUUCCAUAGAUUAAUUUGGCUGAUGAUCAAAUAUGACGAAAUUAAUUGCUUUGUGAAUGGAAGAUAUCAACGAGUGCUUACGUCCGGAAAAGUACGGAUGCUACGGAGACUGCACAAACAUGUUAGGAAGUCACACUUGCGUGUGCCCUCCUGGGACUAGUGGAAAUUGGACCGACAGGAACGGUUGCCGCCCAAAGGACAACUUCCCUUUAGCUCUUAAAGUAGUUACAGGUAAAAAAAAUUAUAACUGUCGUCCAUCAUGAAAAAUUACAUUCAGUCUCAAAAAUGGAAAUCUAACGGAGUAAUAUUGGGUAUACAAUGGCGUCGUGUUCAGGGGUUAGCGUCGGUGUCUUCUUGUCAGUGUUCAUGUGCUUCUGGCUCUACUUGGGGCUCCAGAAGAGGAAGCUCAUCAGAACGAAGCAGAAGUUCUUCGAGCAUAACGGUGGAGUGAUCCUCCGGCAGCAGAUGCACUCCGGCGGAGGCACCCAUGGGUUCAGGAUAUUCUCGACAGAAGAACUCAAGAGGGCGACCCACAACUUCGCCUCUGACCGUGUUCUGGGUCGUGGUGGUCACGGUGUUGUCUAUAAGGGCGUCCUCGAAGACAAGACAGUAGUGGCCAUCAAGAAGUCGAAGAUGAUGGAGGAGGCCGAGACCAAGGAGUUUGCGAGAGAAAUGUUCAUCCUCUCCCAAAUCAACCAUCGGAAUGUCGUCAAGCUGCUUGGUUGCUGCCUCGAAGUUGAAGUGCCCAUGUUGGUCUAUGAAUUCGUCUCAAAUGGCACCCUCUACCACUACAUCCAUGGCAAGGAACCCAAAGCUGACAUACCACUUGAUACUCGUCUUCGGAUAGCGGCAGAGUCAGCCGAGGCACUCUCCUACAUGCACUCAUCGGCUUCACCCCCAAUCCUCCAUGGAGAUGUCAAGACGGCAAACAUCUUGCUUGAUGACAAGUUUAACGCCAAAGUUUCUGAUUUUGGGGCAUCAAAGCUAGCACCAACUGAUGAGGCCGAGAUUGCAACGUUGGUGCAGGGAACUUGCGGGUACUUGGACCCCGAAUACCUUAUGACAUGCCAGUUGACUGAUAAGAGCGAUGUUUACAGUUUUGGUGUCGUCAUGCUAGAGCUUCUGACAAGGAAGAAAGCAUUGUACUUGGACGGGCCAGAGGAAAACAGGAGCCUGGUGUCAUGCUUCACCACAGCAAUGAAAGUUGGUCGCCAUCAAGAGCUACUAGAUAGCCAAGUAAGGAAUGAGAUGAGCGCUGAAAUGCUAGAAGAGAUCACAUACCUCCUGAUGCGAUGCAUAAGCAUGAAUGGAGAAGAACGGCCAACGAUGAAAGAGGUUGCUGAGAGGCUGGAGAUGUUAAGGAGAUACCAGCAGCACCCAUGGGCUGAAGCUGAAGACAAUGCAGAGGAGAUUGAGAGCUUGCUCGGCAGGGAACAACAGAAUGCAAAUUACCAACUCGAGCAACAAAAUGUCUUGUAUUUGGAAGAAGGCCGUAACUAUACAUUUAGCAUGUAGAUCACGCUGUUUUGAAUUAUGUUUUAUAAAUCAAUCAACACAGAUAUGACUUCUUUUUCUAUGAACAUGAAAAAGCAAAUUUAUGGCCAUUGCAGAAAGGACAAAGAGUUUGCAAAUGAAAUCUUAACAUGUAAAUCUUUCUUGGACAAUUAAUAUAGCUCCCAUGCAUAAUAAAUUGCAAUGAAAGAACCAUGUAGAAAUUCAUGUGGGAUGUAAUAAGAUUGCAGGAAAUCACAAAAUGAUAUAGACCAACGAUGUUAGGAAAUAAACCUGACCUUGUGUGUCAGGUCAGUCCGCGCGUGCGUCGUGUGUGUGUGUUUGUUGUUAACGCGUUCGUCGCAUGGAGCCGGGUCGUGCGGGUAGUGCGAGCAAAGGUCGGGGAUGGAGUUCGUGCUCCGUUGUGCGUCGCGCUGGGCCUAUAAAAGCACAUGUUCAUCGUAUUGUUGGCCACCGAGUUAAAUACAAAAAAGGCGGCAUUUGUUGCCAUUGUCAAGCAUUUCAAGCUCUGCCACUUGCUCUCGCGUUCGUGUGUGUUCCAACGAUCCUUGUGUGAUUCCAACAAACGAUAUGUAACUGUGUAACGUUAAAUGGCACAUGUACAUUCUUUCUUGAAGAAAAAAGGUGAAAGAGACAUGGUAUAAAGACAAAUCCUGACCAUUUGUAGAAGGCUAGAAUAGAUACAUUUAAAUAAGAACAUAAGGGAUUUGAAAACCAUCUCUAUGUAUUUCAGAUUUAUCAGCCACUAGAAUAAACAUAUUUAAUGAGAUAGUCAAGUUAAAUAUGACUAAAUAAGAAGGUAAGUUGUGCAUUCAUGGCGCAUUAAACAUAAAACACACACGUAUAUUCCACAAAUAUUUCUUUACGUACCUUUAAAUUGGAGAGGUGUGCAAUGAACUUCCUUGACAGAUGCCUAAUUCAAGCCUCCCAUCAUGGGCCUGUUGACGAAAAAAUCGAACACACCGGCCUGGGAGAUCUGCUUAGCUCCAGUGCAGGUCCAAAGGUUGUUGAGAUGCGGGCGUGCCAGUCAGUUUGAUCCUGCAACUGAUAAGAUAUGCAAAUAGUAUAUCAAAAUAGCCGAUUGGCUGACAAGCUGAUGGAGCAAUCUCAGCCGAUGCCGAUACCAGCCGAUAGCGAUAGGGUUUUAGCAAUCGGCUAUAUGUCCAAUGAUAUAAAGGCAAUCGGCUGAUGAUGGUGUAAUAAAAUAACAAUAUAAUCCAAUAUAAACCAAUCGGCAAAUAAUUAUAUGAUAAAUAAGCAUCGAUCCGAAGGUUAAAGCACACAUCAGCUGGAGGUCCGAUGUCAUGAAAUCCACAAGAUUAGAUUGAACAGUGAAACCUUUGUUGUCAUCGGCUAAAUCCAACUUAUAUGUAUACGCUAUCCUUAUAAGCCGAUGCAACGUCCAGAUAACUCACCGGCUGAAACCCCGAUGAAACCCUUAUUGGCAAUCAAGAAGCAGGCUAGGGAUUAUGGUUCUAAGCACGACUUAGUAGAUCAAACUCAACUGAUGCAGCACUAAGUAUGAAAAGAAACAUAAUAUCUAGACAAUCAAGCCGUUGACUGAGUUUUCAGGGUGGUAGAUAUCUAAGCUAAUCUAACCUAGCAACACGAUUUAGCCGAUACCGGCAGAAACCCUAAAACGAGAAGCAGCCGAUAGAGCUAAAUUGAUAUGCUAAGACUAGAUUAACAUAAACAUAUGAUAAAUAGGUAGGCAAAUAUAUCAUCCAAACCAGAGCAAUCCAAGAGGUCGAAUGCACUGAUGCAGCCUUGAACGACACCGACGUAAACGAUACAAUUGCCUGGGCCGACGGAACAUUGGACUUACCCCUUCGCCGGAGAUCGAACACCGAUGCAGCCCUACGUCAGGUGCCAAGUCCCGUCGGACGAUAAAAUAAAGUAGAAAAGGUAAAAGGUGGCGAUGCGCCGAAUUGUAUUGAUCGUGAAGAUAGAUUACAUAGACCCUGGGUGUACAUAUUUAUACCUAUGGGUUGAUACAAGUCCUUGUCGGACAAGAAAGAAACUUUCCUAAAGAUAAAAGGAAAAGAUAAAGUCCUUAUAGGACACUGUCGGUGACAUGGGAUCGGGAGUAUCAUGACUAGAGGUUUGAGGCAGAUACAAUCGCCCACGUGGCCUGGCACCCUCGGGGGACGUCGGGCCCGAGGGUGAUGUGUUCGCCCUCCUCUUAGUCCCCCCGAGGGGGUCGGGCUGCACCCCCCUCGGCCCCGAGGGCCGAGGCGCCCCGACCCCUCGUGGGUUUUCGCUCCGCGUGUAUGGGGUAGGUGAGCACAGUGGGGCUCACCUAACCACAUUUAUUGCGGUUUGGCUGAGCGUGUCACGACGCAUGUAACGUAGUGCAUUGCACUCAUUUAUCCGGUCUGUGACCAGUCACAGACCGGUCAGAUCGCGGGUUAGGUGGCGACAGGCGGUCUGACGCACGCCUCGCCCCAUCCCGUCAGGACGAGGGCUUCUAGGCGCUCGUCCCCAGCUGGAGCUAGCGUGUUACCUCCCAGAGAUGGCACGUUAGUCCUGACCAGAUAUAUGCCAGGCUUCAUCCUAACCAUUACAAGCAAAAUGUUGUCUGAAGAAGGGCGAACAUUUUGAUUGCUAAGCUGACACGUGGUGGACAAGAAUGACCGACGUGACUGGUCUGACUCCGGUCAUGUCGUCAGCAGGCGGCCACAAUUCCACGACGCGUCUGCUCCCGGCGAAAGUGGAGGUAGUUGUGGGCCGUCCCAUCAGAAGGUGACUCGGACGGCAACCAUGCAAAUCUCCGUCCAUUUAUGAAAAGGUAGGGUAAGUCCCCAAUGAGAAGGGGGGAUGGUGCAUGUGGUAUCCCCUUAAGAUAUAAAAGGAGGACCUUGCCCACUGAGAGAGGAAGAGAGCUUUUUCUUGGACUGGACCUUUCCAGAUUAGGAACCCAGAACAAGGGAGAGGCUGGCUGAUACUUUGUAGCUCUUUCAUACACAGAUCUCCCAAAACACAGGAGUAGGGUAUUACGCUUCUCAGCGGCCCGAACCUGUAUACAUCGCCGGUGUCUUCUGUGCUUCCUGUCUCGCGAACCUUCCACAUACAGAUUGAGAGCUUAGAAUCUCACCCAGGGUCCCCGGCCGAACCGGCAAAGGAGGGCCAGCGCGGUCUCCCGGUGAGGAGCCCCACGCUCCGUCAUCUGGCGCGCCAGGUAGGGGACUCUGCGAGUGAUCUUCUGAGCUCUUGCACUCUUUCGUGUGCACCAAGCUUUUCCUGUUUAGCCUUAUGGCUGAGCAAGCAAAGGCGCACGACCUCUCUCCGAGUGUGAGUGGCGACGACGGGGAGCCGAACCCACGCCGUCGAGCUCGUACUCCACCGCCCCCUCCACGCCAAAGUCCUAAGCAGGGGGAGGCGCUCGAGAGGGCCGAAGGAUCCGCGACUUCGACAUCCACAGGAGGUGGAAAGGGGCGGCGAGAUGGGGACCGUCGCCUCCUCGUCUACGGCGACGGCAGCACGCCCCAGGGCGCGCUCCAAGCUGCGGGUGCGCUCCUGUGUCACCCGCCUGUCGCCCAUGACCCGGAGUCUCCAGCCCAACGUUGGCUGGACGAUGUGGCCAAAUUGGUCAUGACUGCACGGCAGCGCCUAGAUACUGGUGGGCGGUCCUCCGCCACCAAGGCCUCUGGUGCUGCUACCACCGGCUCCGCGUCGUCAAGACGGAGGGCACGACGAGCGGCAGCCGCUGUUCGCCAUUCGGCCGCCACUCCUUCGUCGACUCCUUCGACCCGGGAAGAUCUGCGUGGGGGGCCGGACGCCCGCGCCAGCAUCGAGCGCCGGCGUAAUGACCGACGUGCUGCCCACGCAACGGAGGGCGCUUCCUCGUCUAGAGUGUCACCUCAACACGGACGCGGGGACCAGCCCUCCGUGCCCCCGGUUGGUGGUGUCGGCUGUAGAGCCUUUGUGGCGAGUCUUCGGAAUGUCCGUUGGCCCCCAAGGUUCCGGCCCACCAUCGCCGAAAAAUAUGAUGGCAGCGUCAACCCCGCCGAGUUUCUCCAGGUCUACACGACCGGGAUUGAGGCCGCCGGGGGUGACGACAGGGUCAUGGCGAAUUUCUUUCCCAUGGCCCUGAAGGGGCAGGCGCGGGGUUGGCUAAUGAACUUGCCACCCGCGUCAGUCCACUCCUGGGAGGAUUUGUGCCAACAGUUCACCAUGAACUUUCAGGGCUCAUAUCCGCGCCCAGGUGAAGAAGCGGACUUACACGCAGUACAGCGAAGGGAUGAUGAGUCACUUCGCUCGUACAUUCAGCGGUUCUGUCAAGUCCGCAACACCAUACCAUGCAUCCCUGCACACGCGGUAAUCUACGCGUUCAGGGGGGGCGUGCGGCACAACCGCAUGCUCGAAAAGAUCGCCUCCAAGGAGCCCCAGACUACCGCGGAGUUUUUUCAGCUCGCGGACCGAGUGGCUCGCAAGGAGGAGGCCUGGACUUGGAACCCUUCCGGUUCCGGUGUGGCAGCUUCGGCCGCCCCCGGAUCCGCCGCUCAGACAGGGCGGCGUGACAGGAGGAGGAAGAAGAGGUCAGUCCAUUCAGACGACGAGGGUCAUGUCCUCGCCGUCGAGGGCGCUCCGCGGGCCACCCGAAAGGGGAGGCCUGCGGGAGACAAAAAGAAGGAGGCCGGCGCUCCCAGCAGGGAGCGCCCAACCGGCAAGUGGUGCACCGUCCACAACACUUCCCUUCACGACCUCGCGGACUGCCGUGCAGUCAAAAGUUUGGCUGAGCGGACGAGGAAGUGGGAGGAGGAGAGGAGGCAGGAGCGCCGAGAGGGCAAGUCCCCGGCGGUUCCUUCCGGCAAUCGGCGAAGUGAGGCCAAGCAGAAGGCCCCCGCUGAGGACAUCGAUGACGGCGAUGAUGACCUAGGUUUCCAAGAGCCUGGGGCCACCAUUGCCACUGUCGAUGGGGGAGCGUGUGCUCACGUUUCUCGCCGGAGCCUCAAGGCCAUGAAGCGAGAGCUUCUGGCCGCGGCCCCGACUCAUGAGGCGACGCGCCGGGCGCGGUGGUCGGAGGUUGCCCUCACCUUCGACCAGACCGACCACCCACCGUGCGUUGCCCGGGGAGGACAGAUCGCAAUGGUGGUUUCCCCCACUGUUUGCAACGUGAAGCUGGGGCGUGUCCUCAUUGAUGGAGGAGCAGCCCUCAACAUCCUUUCCCCCGCAGCCUUUGACGCCAUCAAGGCCCCGGGGAUGAUGCUCCGGCCGUCCCAGCCGAUCAUUGGAGUGACGCCGGGGCACACUUGGCCGCUAGGUCAUAUCGACCUCCCGGUCACCUUCGGUGGACCCGCCAAUUUCCGCACGGAGCGGGUGAACUUCGAUGUGGCGGACCUCAGUCUGCCCUACAACGCGGUCCUGGAGAGGCCCGCGUUGGUGAAGUUCAUGGCGGCGGUCCACUACGCCUACCUCCAGAUGAAGAUGCCGGGCCCCGAUGGCCCCAUCUCUGUCCAUGGCGACCUCAAAGUCGCGCUCGCUUGUAUGGAGCAGCGCGCGGACCGCCUCGCCGUCGUGUCCAAGCCCGAGGGUGGCGACGAGAGGCUUGGCACAUCCGCCCCCGCCGCCCCGAGGCAGCGGAUAGUCACGUGCGAUGAGGUCCCGGUCAAGGAGGUUGCCCUGGGCGACGGCCCGUCCAAGACCACACGGAUUGGUGGUCUUCUGGACGGCAAAUAGGAAGGCGCGCUCGUCUCUUUCCUGCGGGCAAACGCUGACGUCUUCACAUGGAGACCGGCGGAUAUGCCCGGGGUCCCCAGGGAGGUGAUUGAGCACCGUCUCGCCGUACGGCCGGGCGCAAGGCCGGUCCGGCAGAAAGUGCGGCGCCAGGCCCCGGAACGUCAAGCCUUCAUCCGCGAGGAGGUGGCGCGACUUCUGGAGGCCGGAUUCAUCCGCGAGGUCAUCCAUCCGGAGUGGCUGGCGAACCCGGUGGUCGUUCCCAAGGCGAACGGCAAGCUUCGGAUGUGCAUCGACUACACCGACCUUAACAAGGCAUGUCCUAAGGAUCCUUACCCCCUGCCUCGCAUAGAUCAGAUUGUCGACUCCACAGCGGGGUGCGACCUUUUGUGUUUUCUAGAUGCAUACUCUGGUUACCAUCAGAUUCGCAUGGCUAGGGAGGAUGAGGAAAAAACUGCGUUCAUUACCCCCAUAGGAACUUAUUGUUAUACGACGAUGCCCUUCGGGUUAAAGAAUUCAGGUCCUACUUUUCAACGUACUACUCGAAUUUCUUUGGGUAGCCAAUUAGGACGUAAUGUUGAGGCUUAUGUCGAUGACUUGGUUGUAAAGACGCGCAACCAGGAAACGUUACUUUCAGAUCUAGCGGAAACUUUUGAGAGCCUCCGCUCCGCCCGCAUAAAACUGAACCCAGAUAAGUGCGUGUUCGGUGUACCUGCGGGCAAGCUUCUCGGGUUCUUGGUCUCUGCCCGAGGCAUCGAGGCCAACCCCGAGAAGAUACGAGCUAUAGAGCGGAUGCGCCCCCCCAGCAAGCUUAGGGAUGUGCAAUGCGUCACCGGUUGUAUGGCCGCCCUAAGUCGGUUCAUAUCGAGGCUGGGAGAGAAGGCGCUACCCUUAUUUAAGCUCCUCAAACGCUCCGGGCCGUUUACUUGGACGGAGGAAGCUGAACGUGCCCUCACUCAGUUGAAGGCGUAUCUCAGCUCUCCCCCCAGUUCUGGUCGCCCCGGAGCCAAAUGAACCCUUGCUACUCUACUUAGCGGCGACCCCGCAAGUGGUUAGUGCGGCGUUGGUCGUGGAGCGCGAUGAGGACAAUCCUCAUUCCGCGCACCCCCACCUUGUGCAGACUUGGCCCGGGAGAGAGCAGGGAGAAGAGGCCCCCGAGCCGGACGGUGGCCUAAGGCCCCCGACGACCGGAGCAGGCCCUCUCCCCGCUUGUCAGACGGUGUCAGGUGCCCCCGACUCCCAGGACAGCCCCGAGGCCACUGCGGGAAGGCCGCACCUAUCGCCCUCUGACCCCGAGGCUAACCCUGUGCCGAUUCGACCCAGGAGAGAGCAGGGAGAAGAGGCCCCCGAGCCGAACGGAAUGCCGCUGAGAAGCGUAAUACCCUACUCCUGUGUUUUGGGAGAUCUGUGUAUGAAAGAGCUACAAAGUAUCAGCCAGCCUCUCCCUUGUUCUGGGUUCCUAAUCUGGAAAGGUCCAGUCCAAGAAAAAGCUCUCCCCCUCUCUCAGUGGGCAAGGUCCUCCUUUUAUAUCUUAAGGGGAUACCACAUGCACCAUCCCCCCUUCUCACUGGGGACUUACCCUACCUUUUCAUAAAUGGACGGAGAUUUGCAUGGUUGCCGUCCGAGUCACCUUCUGAUGGGACGGCCCACAACUACCUCCACUUUCGCCAGGAGCAGACGCGUCGUGGAAUUGUGGCCGCCUGCUGACGACAUGACCGGAGUCAGACCAGUCACGUCGGUCAUUCUGGGCGCCGGUGCAGGGGUCACGUUGACCUCUCCGAGUGGAGACGUCCUCAGAUACUUGGUUCGCCUCGACUUUCGAGCGACCAAUAAUAUGGCAGAGUACGAGGGACUCCUUGCCGGACUCAGAGUGGCAGCUGGACUGGGGAUCCGCCGCCUCCUGGUGUUAGGCGACUCCCAGCUGGUCGUUAACCAAGUCGGUAAGGAGUACCGGUGCUCUGACCCGCAAAUGGACGCCUACGUGCGCCAAGUACGGCGUAUGGAGCGCCAUUUUGACGGGAUUGAGCUUCGGCACGUGCCCAGACGGGAUAACGUCAUGGCCGACGAACUCUCACGGCUCGCAUCCUCGCGAGCCCAGACCCCACCGGGCGCCUUUGAAGAAAGGCUUACCCAGCCGUCGGCGCGACCCGACCCCUUAGGGGAGACGGAUGCGCCUGACCGGCCCCCGAGGCCCGUCGGAGUCCAGGCCUCGGGACCCGAGGGGAGUGCUCCCAGCUCCCUUAGAUUGAUUGCUUGGAUCGCCGAGAUCCAAGCAUACCUCAGAAAUAAGACUCUACCCGAGGACCGCGAGGGGAGUGAACGCGUCCAUCGCAUCUCCAAACGCUACGUGCUGGUAGAAGGGACCCUCUAUCGGCGCGCGGCUAAUGGAAUCCUCCUGAAGUGCAUUCCUCGGGAACAAGGCGUUGUGCUUCUUGCCGAUAUCCAUGAAGGCGAAUGCGGGGCCCACUCCGCCUCGCGCACCUUGGUUGGUAAAGCUUUUCGCCAAGGUUUCUAUUGGCCGACAGCUCUCAAUGAUGCGGUCGACCUGGUCCGCCGAUGUAGAGCGUGUCAAUUCCACGCCAAGCAAAUCCAUCAGCCGGCCCAGGCCCUGCAGACCAUACCACUUUCGUGGCCAUUUGCUGUCUGGGGACUCGAUAUCCUGGGACCGUUUAGGCGGGCCCCGGGCGGGUUUGAGUAUCUGUAUGUCGCGAUCGAUAAGUUCACUAAGUGGCCCGAGGCUUAUCCGGUCGUCAAGAUCGAUAAGCACUCCGCACUUAAAUUCAUUAAGGGCAUCACGGCCCGGUUUGGAGUGCCUAACCGUAUUAUUACGGAUAAUGGCACCCAAUUCACUAGUGAACUCUUCGGCGACUACUGCGAAGACAUGGGCAUCAAGCUCUGCUUCGCCUCACCUGCCCACCCCAGAAGCAAUGGCCAAGUGGAGCGCGCCAAUGCGGAAAUCCUCAAAGGUCUUAAAACCAAGACCUUUAACAUACUCAAGAAGCACGGCGAUUCAUGGAUCGAGGAGUUGCCAGCGGUGCUCUGGGCAAACCGAACUACACCAAGCCGAGCAACCGGGGAAACACCUUUCUUCCUCGUCUACGGCGCGGAAGUGGUUCUCCCAUCUGAGCUCACCCUGAAGUCUCCUCGGGCCACCAUGUACUGCGAGGCUGAUCAAGAUCAGCUUCGCAGAGAUGACCUCGACUACUUGGAAGAGCGAAGGCGGCGCGCGGCCCUCCGAGCCGCGCGCUACCAGCAGAGCCUGCGGCGCUACCAUCAGUGUCACGUCCGGGCCCGAUCACUCUGCGUCGACGACCUCGUCCUACGCCGCGUCCAAACGCGUGCUGGAUUGAGCAAGCUCUCACCAAUGUGGGAGGGUCCGUAUCGAGUGGUCGGCGUCCCCCGGCCGGGCUCCAUACGGCUGGCCACGGGCGACGGCACUGAGCUGCCUAACCCGUGGAACAUCGAACACCUUCGUCGCUUCUACCCCUGAGGGGGGGUCGGGUGUCAGGUUUCGGGCUCGGGCCAACCCCGCACCCCCUCGGGCGAGCAGGGUUGGCCGGGGGCUGCCACACAUGCACUUUCUUAUUUCUCUUAUUUCAGAAUUUCAAUAAAAGCAGUUUCAAUUUCCUAAAGGUUGUAUCUGUGCUGUUUUUUCCUUUUGAAGAAUCUUGACUUGAAAUAGGUCACUCGCGCUCAAUCCUGCCCUCGGGGGCUCGGGUCGGCUAAAAUCGCCAAACGGGGCCCAGAACCGAGCCGUGCCCCGGGGCGUGGUGAACUCCGGGGGGGAAUCGGCAAAAACCCACAAUCGGGUCACCCAUAACCCUCGGUCACCACGUUCCCGGCCUGGCCAGUCUCGACAUGUGGAUCUCCCCAGGCACUAGCCCCGACCCGCGCCUUUUGAGGACCAGAACCUGGGCACGAGCCCUUAUUCAAGCUAAGACACAAAAGGACCACGGCACAGAUCAUCCUCAUCUCAUACUUACAGCAAGAUGAAAUUAACACAAAAAUUUCUUCAUUUUUGAUUACAGAUUAAGUUGAUCUAUACAAAGCCCGAAGGCCUUAGAAGAAAGAAAAGAAGAAAAAACAGAAGGAUGGCGGGGGUCUGGGGGCUCAAUCCGAUGCGCCCGGAUAGCCGGCCUCGACGUCAUUGUCGUCUGCACCUCCGGCAUUGCCCUCCUCGUCGGAGUUGGGGGCAAACGCAAGCCGAGGGGCCGAGCCCUCGAAGCUGUCGACGAUAUAGUCGGCGGCAUCCCGGACUUGCGCGCGCGCGCGGUCCUCGGUCCCAGGAGGGAACUCAUCCAGCGCCAUCCAUGGAGAGAAAUUGGGGUCCCUGGCCUGGUAACUCGCCAGGACGAGCUCCACCGCUCCUUGGGCGAGGUCCCUCGAGGAUGACUUAAUUGUCUUCUCGAGCUCCUCGGGGAGCCGUUGGAGAGCCCCGGCCAUCUUCGAGAGGUGCUGGGCGAGGCCUCCCUGGUUGUCGGCGUACUUUACGGUCCGCCCUCUCCAGAGGCCCACUUGCCGACCGGCGCGAUCUAGGCGGGAGACGGCGUCCCAAAGCAUGCCGGGCCCGACCUCGCCUGCCAAGCGGAGGGCUUCGACCUCCCCGGCGGACGAGUCCAGCGCGCCCUGCAGAUCGGCGAUGGUGUGUUCGGCAUCUGCGAGGCGGGCGGCUAAGUCGCUUUCGCCCGCGGCCGCCCCGCCGCUGCGCGCCCUCGCGUCCAGCUCCUUCGCCCGCGCCUCGAGCUCAGCGGCCCGUUGGUUCAGUGCGGCCCUCUCGGCGCGGGCACCUUCCAGAUUGCGGCGCGCCUGCUCCUCCUGCGCUGCCUCGCGGAGGGACAGGCUGUCCGCCAGCUGUUGCGCCGCGGCCUCGGCCCCCUCGAGAGCUCGCUCCCGCUCGGUGAGCGCGUCCUCGCGGAGGCGGAGCGCGAUCUCUUCUUCGGCGCAGGCAGCCUCGUGCGCCGCCAGCGUUGCUUCCCGGAUGGUGACAGCGGCCUCGCGGUCCGCCAGAUCCCUCUCCACGACGCAGGCGUGCUCUUCCAGCGCCAUGGCGCGCGCCUCAAGGGCCUCUUCGCGCCGCCAUGACGCCGCUUCGGUCUCUGCCGCCCGCUGUUCUCGGGCAGCGGCAGCGUCAAGCACCCCCUGGGCGGCGUCGAGCUUCUUCCCUAGCUCCACUUCCCAGCUCCCGUAUUGAAGGCGGAGGGUGUCCUGCGCCUCGUUCAUCACGGUGGUGGCAAUGAGGGCAGCCCCCCGCUCCUCCUCCACUUCCUUGGCGAUCUCCGCCAGCACCUUCUUACGGGUUUCAAGCUCCGAGACAUGCCGGCGGUGAGCCUUACGGCCCACCUCCACCAUGGCCUCCACCGAGCGUCGCCCCUCUUCGACACGCGCCCACGCGGCGUCGAGCUCCGCCCGCUCUGCCUGCAGGGCCUCCACCUAGGCACUUAACCCAUCCAACAUCGUGGUGUUUGCGGCGGUCAAAGCCUGCAGAAGGGGCUCUGUGUUCAGUGGGGCGAUAGAAGGCGUGGGGAAGAGCCGCCUUGGAAAGGAUGCCACGCGGCUCGGGCCGCCGAUGGAAGUGCCGGACUCGGGGAUGUCUCCCGGACCCGUUUGGUCCUGAGCGUCGCCCGAGGGAGUGGGCCCAAGCGACGCGCCCGCAGCCUCGUCGCCAGCUGCCCCGGAAGUUGUCGCCUGAGCGUCGCCCGAGGGAGUGGGCCCAAGCGACACGCCCGCAGCCUCGUCGCCAGCUGCCCCGGAAGUUGUCGCCUGAGCGUCGCCCGAGGGAGUGGGCCCGAGCGACGCGCCCGCGGCCUCGUCGCGAGCUGCCUCGGAAGUCGCCAUCGCCUCGUCCUGGCGAAAUCCGGCUUCCUCCCGAGCGGCUUCCUUGGCCUUGUGGGCUCGGACAGCCUCCUCCCGAGCGGCUUCCUCGGCCUGGUGGGCUCGGGCGGCCUCCUCCCGAGCAGCUUCCUCGGCCUGGCGGGCCCGGGCGGCUCCCUCCCAAGCAGUUUCCUCGGCCUGGCGAGCCCGGGCGGCCUCCUGGGCGGCCUCCUCGGCUUCCCGUAGGCGAUCUGCGGCCUCUCGCCGGUCAGAUUCCCGCCUCCGGGCCUCUGCGGCCGCCGGAUCCUCGGCCUCAGACUGGCCGGACUUGGAAUGGCGGGAGGGACGCGACGGGAUCUCGCUAAAACAAAAGAAAAGACCAGAAGACGAACAAGAUGGGUGAGUAAAAACUCGCGUUGAGAGAAUGAAUACAGCCACGAUGGGUGAGAGACGAACCUGCGAGGGGGUCGGUUAAACGACCACUUUGGAGGGGAAAUGAGGUUUCCCCGAGAUGGUUCCGUCUCCCCCAUCUUGCGGGGCCGCUUCUUCAUGCGCUCCCCCUCGGGCUGCGAUGUUGGCGCGGCCCCCUCCGGGCGCCUGCUGCUGGCACGCGCCGCCCCGCCCCCUCGGGGAGGAGAUGGGGGAGGUGUUCCUCCCUGCUUCCUCUUCCCCCGGGUGUUGGCAGGGCGGCUGCUCCCCGGACCCCUGUCGCGGGACCCAGAAGCACGACCCCCUCUCGGGGUAGAUUGUUCCCCCCGGCGGCUCCCGCCUGCGCCGUCGUGGCCCUUUGGAGCUCGCUCCUCUGAGGCCCCGACCGCCAUCAUAAUGGUCAGGAUGGAGGCGCGGUCUGGAUCGCUGCAGAGGGGGAGGAUUCCUUGGGGAAUGAGGGCCGCCUCCACGGAGUUGAGAUUCAGCACCCGUUGGACCAAUAUCUUGAAGUCCUCAGGAGCCCAGUCCCAUCACACUCCCUGGUGGGUCCUCAUGAAGUCUUCGGACCCGGUGUACUCCCAGGCGCCCCGAGCGCGCCGCUGGAGCGGCGCAAUCCGACGACGGAGGUAGUCGCCAUACACCAUGGCCCCUGUGAGCCCCUGGGAUCGCAGGCCCGCCAGGCGGUCGAGGACGGCGUCAUAGCCAUCCCCCAGAUCUACCGGCGCCCGCCAGCUGGAGGCCUGCACCGGGGGCUGGCUCGGAAGUAGGAGGCGCGCUUCGUCGGCGAGGGGAGUGUAGAACCAGUCGCUCUUCCAGUCGUCCCACUUCUUGCGGAGGGCGCAGGGGAUGUAGCGGUUCAGCACCGGCCCCCGUGGCUGGAAGUAGCAGCCACCAACUACCGAUGGCGGCGACACCGACUGCACAGUGAAGAACCACCGGAACAGCCGAAGAGAUGGGCGCACCCCAAUAAACAUCUCGCACAGAUGCGCGAAGAUGGCCAAUGUCAUCACCGCGUUGGGGGUGAGGUGCGCCAUCUGGAGAUCGUAGAACUCCAGAACAUCCAUGAAGAAAGAAGAAAAUGGCGGAACUAGCCCUGCCAUUGCAAAGGGGAGAAAGAAGACGGACCGCCCCGGGUAGUCUGGCGCCGGGCGUCCCUCGCCCAGCGUAACUAUCUCCCGGCCGGUGGCAGAUUCCGGCAUGAAGCGGCGCGGCAGCCCAGCCUGCCUCUCGCUCACGAUGCGGGAAGGCGGCAGCACGCUACCAUCGAGCAGAGCGGAGCCCCGUGCCAUGACGCCGGAGGAAGAGAAGAUUAAGAGCGAGCGCGUGUGGCGAGGGUAGGGCGCAGGAAAGAAGGAGUUAGGGCGCAAGCGGCGAAGACAAGGGGAAUAAUGGCGAAAGGAAGGAAACAAAUCCCUUCCUCAGUGCCUUUAUACCCUUGCCAACGCUGUGCCCGGCUCCUCGCUUCUCGCGCCCACUAUUUCGCCCCCUCGUUUCUCGCGCCCACGCUUCCACUAAUCCCAUUCGCCCGCUUGCGGCGCAUGAGGUGGAUAUGCGGUUGUGGCAGUCGAGGUAGAUCAUAUCGUGCGCGCGUUAAUUACGCUCGCCAACCGAAGCGACGUUACCAUAUCUCCAGAUGAAACGAAUCGCCAUGUCCAGAUUCGUGUGCUACUCGAGUAAUGUGGCAGUCUUGAAGAGACCGCUCAUUAUUGACAGCCGAGUUACCAUUGCCGAUGUGCGUGAUUUUUGACCGUUGGGUUUCUGCCCAAUUGUGGAGACCGGUCCCACCUGUCACCGGGCCUUAGGAGUGGCGUCACGCCCGACCGCUUCCCUUAAGGAGGGCGAACGCCCUGGCAUAACGCCGAGGGCUACUGUCGGUGACAUGGGAUCGGGAGUAUCAUGACUAGAGGUUUGAGGCAGACAUAAUCGCCAACGUGGCCUGGCACCCUCGGGGGACGUUGGGCCCGAGGGUGAUGUGUUCGCCCUCCUCUUAGUCCCCCCGAGGGGGUCGGGCUGCACCCCCCUCGGCCCCGAGGGCCGAGGCGCCCCGACCCCUCGUGGGUUUUCGCUCCGCGUGUAUGGGGUAGGUGAGCACAGUGGGGCUCACCUAACCACAUUUAUUGCGGUUUGGCUGAGCGUGUCACGACGCAUGUAACGUAGUGCAUUGCACUCAUUUAUCCGGUCUGUGACCAGUCACAGACCGGUCAGAUCGCGGGUUAGGUGGCGACAGGCGGUCUGACGCACGCCUCGCCCCAUCCCGUCAGGACGAGGGCUUCUAGGCGCUCGUCCCCAGCUGGAGCUAGCGUGUUACCUCCCAGAGAUGGCACGUUAGUCCUGACCAGAUAUAUGCCAGGCUUCAUCCUAACCAUUACAAGCAAAAUGUUGUCUGAAGAAGGGCGAACAUUUUGAUUGCUAAGCUGACACGUGGUGGACAAGAAUGACCGACGUGACUGGUCUGACUCCGGUCAUGUCGUCAGCAGGCGGCCACAAUUCCACGACGCGUCUGCUCCCGGCGAAAGUGGAGGUAGUUGUGGGCCGUCCCAUCAGAAGGUGACUCGGACGGCAACCAUGCAAAUCUCCGUCCAUUUAUGAAAAGGUAGGGUAAGUCCCCAGUGAGAAGGGGGGAUGGUGCAUGUGGUAUCCCCUUAAGAUAUAAAAGGAGGACCUUGCCCACUGAGAGAGGAAGAGAGCUUUUUCUUGGACUGGACCUUUCCAGAUUAGGAACCCAGAACAAGGGAGAGGCUGGCUGAUACUUUGUAGCUCUUUCAUACACAGAUCUCCCAAAACACAGGAGUAGGGUAUUACGCUUCUCAGCGGCCCGAACCUGUAUACAUCGCCGGUGUCUUCUGUGCUUCCUGUCUCGCGAACCUUCCACAUACAGAUUGAGAGCUUAGAAUCUCACCCAGGGUCCCCGGCCGAACCGGCAAAGGGGGGCCAGCGCGGUCUCCCGGUAAGGAGCCCCACGCUCCGUCAGACACUAAACACAAUUUCCUAAAGAUAAAAGGAAACUAACAAACUAUUCCUAAUUAAUAGAUAACUUGUCAUGCCGCAUUCUCUUUAAACUCGGUCUCUUCUGGAUAAGUUUUAUUUAGUAGAUCAAUUUCCUUAACCGAAUAUAGCAAGAAUCCGACAACUGAUGACUUGACAACUCUCAUCGGCUAAUCUCAGGACUUCGAAGCCGAUGCUGACUCUAAACCGAUGACUACUCCGGACUUACCAAAUUUCACUGUUAACAAGGCCAUAGUGAUAAACCAAUAAAUCUUUCAACCAACACCUUUUGUCAGCAUCCUUCAGUGUCUUGAUCUUGGCCUUGAGUUCUUCAGGUAAAUUAAGCAGGUAAAAUAUCUAUCUCCUCCCACUAGCACCUCUGCAUGAAUCUAGGGAUAUAAAAGGCUUAAGUUAGCGGCAAGUUCCAUUUUGCACACGCCAGCUUUGGUUUAGAAUAAAACAUUAAGCUGAGAGGCCUCAGAUUUUAUAAAUGCGAUAUCAUCUUCUAAAAAUUUGCAUUGAGGGCAUUGGCAUCACAGAUUACAAUAAUAAGACAAGAUGACUACUUCCUCCGUUUUACAAUGUAAGUCAUUCUAGUAUUUCCCAUAUUCAUAUAUAUAUAUAUAUAUAUAUAUAUAUAUAUAUAUAUAUUCAUUAACAUCAAUAUAAAUAUGGGAAAUGCUAGAAUGACUUACAUAUAAAUAUGGGAAAUGCUAGAAUGACUUACAUUGUGAAACGGAGGUAGUAACUCCGAAAAAAUGCAGUACAAUUGUACUGCAGGUGAAGUAGGCAUGACAUUUAUUGUGUACAUAUUCGAGUAGAGUAGUUUAUGAAACUCUGAUCCAUUUAAUUAGCAAUCAAUUGGUUCUCAAAUUUAAACGAUGGUGCUAAACAGGGAUAAAAUUCAGUGUUAGGCCUUCAAUUGAAUGGCAUGGGCUGGAAUAGUAGCAGACCCGAGAAAUUUUAGAGUUGGUCAGGCCUAACUACGGUGAGUUUGUUUUUUUAUGUGAAAACUUCAUCCUCAACACCUAUGGAAGCGUUUCUUUAAAAAAAAAAAACAAACACCUAUAGAAGCACAAAAUUCCAUUGUCGACGAUUGCUCAACAUCCAUCAAUUGGCUGGAAGACCAUCAAAAGUUCAACACCACUAUGAUUAGUUUAGAAGCCCAUAACUUGCUUACUUAUGCUCCAAAAGAGGUGGCAUGUACGUUUGUGGAUUGUUCAUCACAUCAUCACCGAAAAUAAUUUGAGACUUAUGCUCCAAACAACAAGAAAUGCGGAAGACAGCAAGCAGUUAGUCUGCAUCAAGCCAGGCUGCAACACAGUUCCUCCCAACUACCUAACAUUGGAAGCCACCGCGGCCUAGUUGAGCCGGACGAGCGGCAAAGGGGAGGGAGUGAGAAGGUCAAAGUGGACGAGGAAUCGACGACGUACCAUGGUAAUGGACGAGGCCCGUGACGGCGCUGGACAUGCCUAAAGUCGUCGCCGGAGGCCGAGCGUCCGGGUAGAUCGAAGACGGCAAGGCGGUGGAUCCUGCCGACGCUGCUGCAGCCGCGAUGAGCGGUCUCAAAGCCAAGCGGAGAUGGGGCGAGGGUUUUGGGAGUCCGGCUCCGGCAGCAGUAGCAUCGGAGGAGAACCGGGUCGUCUCCGUAGCCGACGGUGGUGAGUUGGGCCGGAUAGGUACAAAGGACGUUUGCAACGAAUUGGGCUGGAAUGAAAUCCCCACGUAUUAUGUACUCCACACUCUUUGAAUAAGUCUAUUUGAUCUCCCUCGUCCUCUUGAUCCUGAAUGAAUAUCUCCCUUGGCUACAGAACGGGAUAUAGCACGUCUCCUCCAUCUUUAAAAACUGAUACAAAUAAACUACUUCGGUGUUUUUGAAAAUGAUUUUUUUGUUGACGUGGCCAGUUAACCAUGGUUGUCUCGUUAACAAAUGAGAACCACGUGUCAGCGACUUCCUUCUUAUGUACGCGUAAGUGCAUAACUUAACCGAGUAGCGUGAAUACAAGCACCGGUACAACACAAAAACUAACUGGCGGAGACACGCCAACUCGCUUGCUGGCGCACACACCUGUGUGACCCGUGGGUCUGCGCCCUCGUGGGACUUUUUCUUUCACCUUUUUUUUAAAAAAAGAAAUGAAUCUUUCAUCUUUAAUUUCGGUUGAAAGUUUUAAAUUUGAGUUAAAUGUUUUGAAUUUUGAGAUGAAAGUUUGUAAACCUGAGUUGACUGUUUUCAAAUUUUCACUUGGAUUUUUUUUCAAAUCUGAGUUGAAAGCUUUUAAAUCUUAGUUAAAAAUUUUAAGUCUUUGAGUUAAAUAUUAAUGAUUUCACUUGAAAGUUUUUAAAUAUGAGUUGAAAGUUUUAAAUUUUUUAACUUAAAAAUUUUCAAAUCUUAACUUAAAAAUUUGUAAAUCUGAGUUAAAAGUUAAAAAAAAAAGAAAAGAGAAUGAAUAUAAGCCCCCGUCGGUUCAGCCGGUAUUGGGGGUGAAGUUGGGAUUAGAGCAGGUACAAUAGCAGACUAUUAGCUAGCUAUAAACAUAUUUUAAUGAUAUAAAAGAUGAAAGAGAAAAGCAGCGGGCUACAAAUCUGUAGGUAGCUGCAGCAUAGACUCCAAGAGACGGUGUGUGUAUGACAGAUGGGACCAUAUAUUAAUAGUAUAGUAAGCAACUAUUAUAUGAAUUGGCUAUUAAAUUGACUAUAGAUAAAUUGGAGCUUGUAGUGGGCUAUACUGUUAAACUUGCUCUUAGAGUUGCUCCCGAUCGGCUGGCGCUCGCCCACCGGGUGACGCAAGCAGGCAGCAGCCGACACGAGCCGUCAAAAAGGUUGGCGUUGCCAAGCUCACCUCCUCCCUUGGAGUCUCAAACAUGGGGCUUCCCGUAAACAGAUACCAGGUGGGUUCUGUUAACUCCGACCGUGCCGUGCCGUUCGGUUUCAAAAGCCGCGAGUCGUGCAGCCAACACGCGCCGGAUCUUAGUUUCAACGGCCGACUGAAUUCUUCGGUUGGUUUAGUCCACUUAAGUACUCCAGUUUUGAUACUUGAGCACGGCGGAUUCAGCUUAAGGGCCUGUUUGUCACAGCUCCAACUCUGGAGUGGAGUUGUGGAGCUGCCUAAACCCAGCUCCACAACUCUAUUACAUUUUGUGAGAGAGCUCCACCCAACUCCACUCCUAGUUUUGGUGGAGCUAAAACUGUUUGGCUGAGCUCCAGCUCCAGGAGGGGUGGAGUUGGAGCUGGAGCUGUGCCAAACAGGCCCUAAGUGUUCUAAGUAAACAAAGCAUCUUAAUAUAAAUAUGUUUGUUUUACGGUCUUAUAUGCUAUUUUCACGUUCCAUUAAUUAUGUCAUAAACUGUUGUUGAUUUGUGCCAGUUUUCUCCUAUUUCAGUUAGUAGUAUCGUAUUUUGCACUACGUCGGUAUUUUACUUACCUUUGGAAAUUGUAAUCGCGGAACUUGUAACCACAAUAUACCGAAUUUGCCAUUGUUCAUUGGUUUUCUCUCGUAUCUCUAAGACAAUCAUAAUUAGCAUGUGUAGCUCACGCUAAAAUUAAAAGUUUAGUUAAAAUUGAAACGAUGUGAUGGAAAAGUUGAAAGUUUGUGUGUAGGUAAGUUUUGAUGUGAUGAAAAAGUUGAAAGUUUAAAGAAAAAAAUUAGGAACUAAAUAAGACUUAGCGUAAAAAAUCGUCAAAUUCACUCGAACGUACUACUAUAGUACUAUUUCCGUCAAGGUUUCAAAAAGACAUUAGUCGAUCGUACCAGUCUGACUCGAAUCGUCGGUCGUUCCAGCAGCAGAUGCAAUUGUUUAGUACAAGUUGCAUCCUAGUACAGUAGAAGAUUCGCCAGGUUCAGCGAAAACCUCGCACGGUUUACGUGCCAGAGUUGGCUUCGUGAUCCUCUCGUCCAGAAAGGCAAUGGAAUAUACUCUACUGCUCGUACGCGCCCGUGAGAUGAGCCCACGCGCACGCCCAACCCAUCGGCAAUUCGGCCUUGUGCUGCCCAGUUUUUGCGCGCGCGCCGCUGAAUCCUCAAAAAUGGACGACAAGGCGACGGCAUUCCGUUUCGCGUGGUCGCAGUUGCGCCUCCCCCACCCCUCACCCGAUGACCACCCUACGCUAGCAAUCUUCCUCUUGUCGUCGUCCUCCUCGUGCUCCGUGGCAUGGCGGCGCAGGUGCUCGCAGCUCGCGUAUAAAUAGCGGCCAUGUCCAUACACGGCAGACUCACACAACCAACAUUCAGAGUUCGAGUGAAAGUUCUCUCACAAGUUCAGAGUAGCAUUUGGCUAGUGACAGUAACUGGUCAGUGUCUCUCACCAUGUCGUCCAAUUUUGAGGCCAACAACAACAAUGGCGAGAAGCAGCUGGUCUGUGUGACCGGAGCAGGUGGCUUCAUUGGGUCGUGGGUGGUGAAGGAGCUCCUCAUCCGUGGCUACCACGUCAGGGGAACAGCCAGAGAUCCUGGUAAGUUACUAACUAGUAGUUCACGGUGUUACCAUUAAUUUGCUGCAUUUUGUGCUUGAUUUAUUGAUCGGUUCUUGCACGCGCGUAUCUGUAGCUGACAGCAAGAAUGCUCACCUGCUUGAGCUGGAGGGAGCCGACCAGAGGCUCUCCCUCUGCCGUGCCGACGUCCUCGACGCCGCCAGCCUCCGCGCCGCCUUCAGCGGGUGCCACGGCGUCUUCCAUGUCGCCUCCCCGGUGUCCAACGACCCUGUAAGUUCACUAGCCUGGUUCUUGAGCCCAAAAGAGACGACAAUGGCGCCUUUAACCUCCUCCAACUUUUACUAACGCUGCUCCGUGCUGCAGGACCUGGUUCCGGUUGCAGUGGAGGGGACGAGGAACGUGAUCAACGCGGCGGCGGACAUGGGCGUGCGGCGCGUGGUGUUCACGUCGUCCUACGGCGCCGUGCACAUGAACCCCAGCAGGAGCCCCGACGCCGUCCUCGACGAGACCUGCUGGAGCGACUACGAAUUCUGCCGCCAAACCGACGUAAGCACAUUACUCUGCUGCGUUUCUACCAACUCCAACCGCGUUGCUUGCAUGAACAGUAAAUUGAUCAUCUCGGCAAAAUUUUCUCGUCGUACGUGCAGAACCUGUACUGCUGCGCCAAGAUGAUGGCAGAGAUGACGGCGACGGAGGAGGCGGCGAAGAGGGGGCUGGAGCUGGCGGUGGUGGUGCCGUCGAUGACGAUGGGUCCCAUGCUGCAGCAGACGCUCAACUUCAGCAGCAACCACGUCGCCCGCUACCUCAUGGGCACCAAGAAGUCGUACCCCAACGCCGUCGCCGCCUACGUCGACGUCCGCGACGUCGCCCGCGCGCACGUCCUCGUCUACGAGCGCCCCGACGCACGCGGCCGCUACCUCUGCAUCGGCACCGUGCUCCACCGCGCCGAGCUCCUCCGGAUGCUCAGGGACCUCUUCCCCCAGUACCCUGCCACUGCAAAGUACGCAACUAUUAGACAUUGAUUUGCUUGUGUGCGUUGCUGAAAUAGUCUUCUGAGAUGUAAUCGAUCGAUCUCAAAUUUUUCAUGCGUGUGUUUCUUGGAUUUUUCAGGUGUGAAGAUGACGGGAAGCCGAUGGCGAAGCCGUACAAGUUCUCGAACCAGAGGCUCAAGGAUUUGGGGUUGGAAUUCACUCCACUGAGGAAGAGUUUGCAUGAGGCGGUCUUAUGCAUGCAGCAGAAGAGUCACCUGCCUCUGAUUUAUCCCGUUCCAAAACGUGCUUACCUAUAAUCGAGAUACAAAUACUCGGAUUUGUCUGUUGUGAUGGGAAACAGAGAGCAACAGGGAGAAAAAAAAAACAAGAAAAUACAAGGGCUCUGAGAAUUCAGUAUGAAAUUGUUUAUUUGAGUAAGUGUAGUAGGCAUUUGUAUUUUGUUGUUACACAUGUAAAACCCUUCUGUAAUGAACAAUAAGGUCCCAUGGAGGGAAUUGUAAAUGCAAAUAUGGAUUCCAUUUAUAUUCUGGGUUUCAGGAUGUAAAUUUGAAUGGCACUGUAUUUAUUCCUAUUUUGCGAGGCAAUUUCCUAGUAUACAGUGCAGUACCGAACCUAAAUGUCUCUCCCUGCAGAUCGCAUGGAGUUGAAGUGUUAAAUGUGUGUGCAGAUCACGUCGAGUUUACAGUGUUUCGGCAGAAAUUGGAGAGUUAUCUGAACUCCAGAGCACUAAAGUCUGACGACACUUUUCAUAGUUUGGACAGGUAUCUGAACUCUGACGAUGUCAUCGAUGGUAUCUGAACCGUAGAGCGAGCGCUGACAUUCUGAUCAAUCAUGAGAGUUGGAUAGUAUCCGAAUUCUGACACUCUUGCAGAGUUUUUGUUCACAGAUCAACAGGUCCGUGACCAAUUUCAUAAUAGCGAAUUUACGACGAGAGCUAUCCGAACUCUUGCAGAGUUUGUGUUCAUGGACCACCAAUUUCAUAGCAAAUUAGCGACACCGAACAUUCAUGGAUCACCAAUUUCAUACUCCCUCCGUCCCAAAAUUAGUGCAGUUUUGCACUAUUCAUGUUCAACAUUUGACCGUUCGUCUUAUUUGAAAAUUUUUUAUGAUUAGUAUUUUUAUUACUAUUAGAUGAUAAAACAUAAAUAAUGCUUUAUGUGUGAUUAUAUAUUUUUAAUUUUUUUCAUAAAUUUUUCAAAUAAGACGAACGGUCAAACGUUGAGUACGGAUAUCCACGGCUGCACUUAUUUUGAGACGGAGGUAGUAGCAAAUUAGCGACACCGAACAUCAGUGACAACUCUUCCUGCAGGAAGAUGUGAAUGUAAAAGGCGCAGAGGAUCAUAAUUCAGAGCCUAGCCAAGAAGAAAUCAAACUUUAAACACAUCAACAUCAAAUUGGAUAUCAUCUAUAUACAAGAACACUAAGGGUGAGUUUGAGAUAUAGAGGAUUGAGAAGAUAUGUAAAACGAGAUGAGCCAUUAGCGCAUGAUUAAUUGAGUAUAAACUAUUUUAAAUUUUAAAAAUGGAUUAAUAUGAUUUUUUAAAGCAACUUUCCUAUAGAAAAUUUUUAAAAAAACGCAUAGUAGUUUGGAAAACGUGCGCGCGGAAAACGAGGUAUUUUCUCACCCUAUCUCACACAAACGAACACAUCAGGCAUCGAUACUCCGUCUAGCUAUCAGCGCAACUGCAUACUUAAAAAUUAAUCGUUGGUUUGGUUGGGGUGCGCCAGGCCCGGGCAGCAGUGCAACACCUGGGCGACGCGUGAGGGCCCCAGCGGCAAGCCACUGUAGUGGACCCUCCCCCACAAAAAAUAAAUUUAAUAUCGAAGUGGGCACAUAGCCCAUAUAUCAGAUAUUAAACUGAUAAGAACAGAUACUACACUUGAUCUUAGCCAAAAGGCCGAGAAAGGUAUGAGUUGCUCCGUGCAACCCUGCCUGCUUAUAUACAGAGCGCCUUGCGCGCCUCAGCUCUGCGUCUCCGAGGUGGUACUAAAAGCUCAAACUCAAAUAUGGGCCUCAGCUCUCUUCUUGAGACGAACACUGGGCCCUGGGUACUAAAAAGGCCCAUCACUGGGUCGCUCUGAUCCGUCACACCCACGAUCGGUGCAAGCCCAGAUAUGGGCCUGAUUUGCUUCUCUGUUGUUAGUGAAAAAGGCCCAAUAUUAGUCCCAAAAGGUUGUGCUUCCAAACUGAGCUCAAUUGAACGGUGAAUCUAUGGAAGUAUAUAUAGACGUUCAUUUCCAUGGACUUUGUUGUCAGAAAGUUACUAGUAAAUAUAUCUGUGGAGAUUAUGGGUACCCCAUACCCACACGGCAUGGUUAUCCGACUAGUAAUAGGGGAUAACAUAUAUCUAUGGAAUAUGUAACCGAUCAUGACUUGGGUAUUACGUUUCCUUUUAUAUUAUGGAGCGGCCUAAAGUCCUGAUUCGAUAAUAUUGUAAAAUAGAUUUAGGAAACCGAUACCGUAUUGGUUAAGGUUUCUAUCUUGUAAUCCUGCCCCCCAUCCUAUAUAAGGUGGGCAGGAGGCCCUCUAGGGGGCAUGAGACAACCUGAUCGUCAGAUCAAUACACACUCGGCGGAUUCAAAUCCCCAAACAGGAGUAGGGUAUUACCUCUCAUUGAGAGGGCCUGAACCUGUCUAAAUCCUUUGUCUCUGCAUCCAUCCACUUUAGGUCUCGUCCGCUACCCCCUUUUAUUAUUGCCGAAUUCAUGUUUCGACAGUUGGCGCGCCAGGUAGGGGAUGCGUCGAAUUACCCGUCGAAAAGUGAGAUGGAAUCCACUUCAGAAGAAACGGCGAGAUCAAUCUCACCGAAUUCGAUGGCUCGAACUUUGGACCGGGUUUGUCGUUCCAAUCUAUUUUUUAUUAGAUUAAUUUUUUUUCUAUCAUAGAUCAAUCUUCUGGUAUAUUUUCCUGUGUCGAUCUUGUGUCGGUCGGCGGAGAUCAAGCCGAAGCUGUCGACGACGCCCUCACGCAUCGAGACUUUCUUCGUGCUUUGCCGGCGGACAUGUGGUGGCCAUCGCUGGGCACAGUUUACCAGGAGAAAACACUGCAUGAGUUGAUUCAACUGAUCAACAUACAUGCACGAUCCAACCAACAUGCACAUUACAUCUACAGAGUUAAUCUGUUUACUAGUUGAUUCUAACCAGCAAUUAUUUUGUUGCUAUCUGUCUUGCAUGUACACCGCCGGCCGUAUCUACUGCCGGCUAUAUCCGUCAGCGCCGACCGGCUCCACCGUCUCCGUAGUCGGUCGCCUCCGAGCUGUUAUCAUUAGGCUUUACAGCUGCCCCGGUCGGUCAUCUACAUGCUGCCGACUCUCCGAGGUCGCAGGGCCGUUGAUGGCUUCCGCCGGCUACUGCUGAUCGAGGCAUUGCGACCCAAGCUGAUCGACGCGCACGACGUAUCCAAGCCACGCCGUACAACUUGGGUUGGCUGUUCCAAUUUAAUUUUUAUUAGAUUGAUUAUUAAUUAAUCCCUAAUCGCCGGCCGUUUUGAUUUCCUGGCAAUUUUUGUUGUUUUUCACAUGCUGGUUGAGAUCACGACACGGCCGCCAUCGUCGCCUACUCGGCCACUCGGGUGCCUCUUGCCGUGUCCGAGUGCUCCUCUCUUCCCUUCCAUGCAGAUGGACGUGCUGCUAGAUUGGCACAGGACACAGGAAUAUACUCGGCCACCAGGAGCAAGCACGUGUAUACGUCGAUUUAAUCUACAUGUAUGCUGGAGCGAUGGUUGUUCGCAUGCAUUGGAUGGCAGUCGAGAUCAAACAAUCAUUCACUGCUUGCGGCCUCGCUGCCACGGUUGGUGUGUGCCGCCGCCGUUGCCGAUAGCGACAUCGUCUUCACCACUGGCUUGCCUCCGUCGCCGCCGAUUGGUGCCUCCGCCUACACGGCUGGUCUAUUAUGCCGCCGCUGUUGGGCGUCUACGACUUCACCGCCGGCCUGCCUCCGUCGCCGCCGAGUGGUGCCUCCGCCUACACGGCUGGCCUAUUAUGCCGCCGCUGUUGGGCGUCUACGACUUCACGCCGCCGGCCUGCCUCCGUCGCCGCCGAUUGGUGCCUCCGCCUACACGGCUGGCCUGUUAUGCCGCCGCUGUUGGGCGUCUACGACUUCACCGCCGGCCUGCCUCCGUCGCCGCCGAUUGGUGCCUCCGCCUACACGGCUGGCCUAUUAUGCCGCCGCUGUUGGGCGUCUACGACUUCACCGCCGGCCUGCCUCCGUCGCCGCCGACUGGUGUCUUUGCCUAUAUGGUUGGUUGGUCACACCACCGUUGUUGGGCGUCUACGACUUCACCGCCGGCCUGCCUCCGUCGCCGCCGACUGGUGUCUUCGCCUAUAUGGUUGGUUGGUCACACCACCGUUGUUGGGCGUCUACAUCUUCACCGACCGGCCGUCUCGUCCGCCGCCGACUGGUGUUUCCGCCUGCACGGCUGGCCUAUUAUGCCGCCGCUGUUGGGCGUCUACGACUUCACCGCCGGCCUGCCUCCGUCGCCGCCGAGUGGUGCCUCCGCCUACACGGCUGGCCUAUUAUGCCGCCGCUGUUGGGCGUCUACGACUUCACCGCCGGCCUGCCUCCGUCGCCGCCGAUUGGUGCCUCCGCCUACACGGCUGGCCUGUUAUGCCGCCGCUGUUGGGCGUCUACGACUUCACCGCCGGCCUGCCUUCGUCGCCGCCGAUUGGUGCCUCCGCCUACACGGCUGGCCUAUUAUGCCGCCGCUGUUGGGCGUCUACGACUUCACCGCCGGCCUGCCUCCGUCGCCGCCGAGUGGUGUCUUCGCCUAUAUGGUUGGUUGGUCACACCACCGUUGUUGGGCGUCUACAUCUUCACCGACCGGCCGUCUCGUCCGCCGCCGACUGGUGUUUCCGCCUGCACGGCUGGCCUAUUAUGCCGCCGCUGUUGGGCGUCUACGACUUCACCGCCGGCCUGCCUCCGUCGCCGCCGACUGGUGUCUUCGCCUAUAUGGUUGGUUGGUCACACCACCGUUGUUGGGCGUCUACGUCUUCACCGACCGGCCGUCUCGUCCGCCGCCGACUGGUGUUUACGCCUGCACGGCUGGCCUAUUAUGCCGCCGCUGUUGGGCGUCUACGACUUCACCGCCGGCCUGCCUCCGUCGCCGCCGAGUGGUGCCUCCGCCUACACGGCUGGCCUAUUAUGCCGCCGCUGUUGGGCGUCUACGACUUCACCGCCGGCCUGCCUCCGUCGCCGCCGAUUGGUGCCUCCGCCUACACGGCUGGCCUGUUAUGCCGCCGCUGUUGGGCGUCUACGACUUCACCGCCGGCCUGCCUCCGUCGCCGCCGAUUGGUGCCUCCGCCUACACGGCUGGCCUAUUAUGCCGCCGCUGUUGGGCGUCUACGACUUCACCGCCGGCCUGCCUCCGUCGCCGCCGAGUGGUGUCUUCGCCUAUAUGGUUGGUUGGUCACACCACCGUUGUUGGGCGUCUACAUCUUCACCGACCGGCCGUCUCGUCCGCCGCCGACUGGUGUUUCCGCCUGCACGGCUGGCCUAUUAUGCCGCCGCUGUUGGGCGUCUACGACUUCACCGCCGGCCUGCCUCCGUCGCCGCCGACUGGUGUCUUCGCCUAUAUGGUUGGUUGGUCACACCACCGUUGUUGGGCGUCUACGUCUUCACCGACCGGCCGUCUCGUCCGCCGCCGACUGGUGUUUACGCCUGCACGGCUGGCCUAUUAUGCCGCCGCUGUUGGGCGUCUACGACUUCACCGCCGGCCUGCCUCCGUCGCCGCCGAUUGGUGCCUCCGCCUACACGGCUGGCCUAUUAUGCCGCCGCUGUUGGGCGUCUACGACUUCACCGCCGGCUUGCCUCCGUCGCCGCCGAGUGGUGCCUCCGCCUACACGGCUGGCCUAUUAUGCCGCCGCUGUUGGGCGUCUACGACUUCACCGCCGGCUUGCCUCCGUCGCCGCCGAGUGGUGCCUCCGCCUACACGGCUGGCCUAUUAUGCCGCCGCUGUUGGGCGUCUACGACUUCACCGCCGGCCUGCCUCCGUCGCCGCCGAGUGGUGCCUCCGCCUACACGGCUGGCCUAUUAUGCCGCCGCUGUUGGGCGUCUACGACUUCACCGCCGGCCUGCCUCCGUCGCCGCCGACUGGUGUCUUCAUUGUUAUUGAUGGACGACUUUGUUCCCACAUUGGUCACUUCUGCCAUCACCAAGGGGAAUAUUACAAAGCUAAGUCAUCAUUUAUUUUAUUUUUUAUAUGAUAUUUUUCCUUUUCCUCUGCCUCACUACACCAAUUGGUCUUCCAUUGAGUAGUGAGUCGAGGGCUAUAGAUGUUAUAUCAUAUUUUUUAUAAUAUUUAUCUUGAUUGCUUGCGACAUAAUCUGAGUACAAAAGUACCUAUCGAGUUAUGGAGUUCUAUCUUCCUAUGCUUUCCGUUUGGUUUGCCAUUGGAUGGUUGCCUUUGGGCCGAUUCCUAGCACCCGGGGGCUCGUUCGAUGGACCGAGUAACGCAAGGUGCUAAGUAUUAUUCGGAAUAAAUCAAAAGCAUAGAGACGAGAUAAAUUUAUUUUCUGCUCUUAAUAAUUGCAAAAGUACCCGAGUAGUAAAUUCUGAUCCGUGAAACUUUGUUCCAUUAAUGACGAACUCAUAUCACUCAUAUGCAUGUUUGGGAAAUGCCUAGGCCGACUCCCGAUGCUUGUGGGCUAUGACUAGUCGGACAGAGUGUUUAAAUGUACAGAGUCAUCUGCUCGGGGAAAUCACAAUUGAUAAGAGGAGAAAUACAUAUUUAUAAAUAUUUUAAAAUACUUGAUUUUUUCUCGAGUAUUAUAUUUAUAUCAGAUACUACUCAUCCGAUAUGUUUGUUCUGCAGGAUCCAGAUCCAGAUAUGCAUAAAAGGGAUUCAUGGCUUUAAGCUUAUCUCUUACGCUCCAGGAAUGGAUCAGUCAGAACAUCACCACCGGCUCGCCUCGACCGCCGCCGACUGGUGUUUCCGCCUGCACGGCUGGCCUAUUAUGCCGCCGUUGUUGGGCGUCUACGUCUUCACCGACCGGCUUGCCUUCGCCGCCGCCGACUGGUGUUUCCGCCUGCACGGCUGGCCUUUAUGCCGCCGUUGUUGGGCGUCUACGUCUUCACCGACCGGCUUGCCUUCGCCGCCGCCGACUGGUGUUUCCGCCUGCACGGCUGGCCUUUAUGCCGCCGUUGUUGGGCGUCUACGUCUUCGCCGACCGGCCGCCUCGUCCGCCGCCGACUGGUGCUUCCGCCUGCACGGCUGACUUAUUAUGCCGCCGUUGUUGGGCGUCUACGUCUUCACCGACCGGCUGCUUCGACCGCCGCCGACUGGUGUUUCCGCCUGCACGGCUGGCCUAUUAUGCUGCCGUUGUUGGGCGUCUACGUCUUCACCGACCGGCCGCUUCGACCGCCGCCGACUGGUGUUUCCGCCUGCACGGCUGGCCUAUUAUGCUGCCGUUGUUGGGCGUCUACGUCUUCACCGACCGGCCGCCGCAUCCGCCGCUGACUGGUGUCACCGCCUGCACGGCUGGCCUGUUAUAACGCCAACUGAUGCUAUCUUCUUCACGGCUGGCUACAUCGCUGUCACUACUAAUAGGCAUCAGUAUCUUCAACACAAGCUGCCUACGUUUGCCAUGGCUGCCGACUGGUUUCUUCACUUCCAUGGCUGCAUGAUUCUGCCAGUGUUGAUUGGCCUUACCAUCUUCAUCGCCGGUCGUCUCGUCUGCUGCUGACUAGUGCCCUCGCCUCUACAUCUGGUUUAUACAGCUACCACUACUGAUGGACAUCAUCAUCUUCCGUCGCCGACUGAUUAUGCCGCCGCCGACUGGUGCUUUUAUCUUCACAACUGCGCGUCUUCACUACCGGAUUUCUACUUGGACAUCUUCAACACAUAUCUUCAAUCAAGCAAUGAUUACUCGACGACAAGAAGCUAUAAUUCUCGACUCUAUGUUCAGUUGUUUCCCAACUAACCAAAGAGUCGGGGGCUACACAAAUACAAGACUCUCAAAAUUCGACAAGAUGAAGCAAUCAAUUAAUCAGCCAACGAGUCAAUUCCAGGAGUCAUUAUCUUCGUCUUUGCUUUAGAGCAGAGUUAUCAACCAAUCAGCUCAGUUUCGACGAGUUGGACAACAUCAUCUACUUUCCUCCAAGUGAAGCAUCUGCAACAGCUAUAACACCAAUUUGAUGGAUUAUUGUCACUGACAUCAUCACCAGCACCUCUGCUUCAUCGACCCUGACAUCUCUGCUGUUGCUAAUGGAUGAUUAUGUUUUCGCCGACUUAUUAUUUCACCUUGACGGUUGACCUACUAUGCAAAUGCUGAUGAGCGUCUUUGUCAUUAUCAUUGGUUGCUACACUGCUAUUGGCUGGAUCACCGACAUCGUCAUCUUCAUCAUGUCGGUUGCGUUUGUCGUCGUCAACUAUUUUCUUCAUCUUCAUGAUUGGUGGAUUUCGCCAUCACUGUUGAUGCGCGUCUACGUCUUCAUCGUCGGUUUGCUUUUGUCAUCACCGACUGUUUCUUCGCCUCCAUGGUUAUGCAACUUCAUUACCUUUGAUUGGUGUCACUGUUUUUUACUACCACUGACAUCUUCCGUUACUUCUGAUGAGCAAUUUCGUCUUCAUGUUGGUCAUUUCAUCUCCAUGCCGACUGCGUCAGCUAUUGCCAAUAGACAAUUUUGACUAUGACAGAAGGACAAGCUAUAUGCUCAGGGGCUCAUCAACUCAAGCGUGAGGAUUAUAUCUCCAAUUGGGACUUGUUCCGGAUACAUUCCACAUGGAUUCAUAGUCAUGAGUCUAUCUUCUAUGCUCAAAGACUGGACCAAUUAUUAUUCCCCGUAAAGGCUAUCAACUGAAUACUUGCGCCAGUCGGGAUUCAAUUAUUAUAUUUAUUUUGGAGUAUCCCAUAAGGGAUAGUCAUUCAGAUCAGAAGCUAUUCAUAUGAGCUACACUUGGUCUAUAUUACCCAGAAGAUUUGUUACUCGGGAGCAUGUCACAUGCGUCAUCCUUUAAAGGGUGUCGAAGGCAUAUUUUUUGGCCUAGGCCUAAUAUGUCUGCAGCCCAUAUUUUCAGGUGUGGCCUGUCACGUUCUUUUAGGGACUUAGGCACUUUUUGCUUAGGCCAAAGUGCGCGUGAUCAAGUGCCCAAUACCUUAAAAUCCUUUUAUACCGCAGUUACUUAACUUUUUAGGAGUUGGUACAAUGCAUCUUAAAAGGUGUCAAACAGUAAAGCUUUAUAUAGCUGUCCCGCUGACUUUUUUAUAUAUAAGUCAAGGUGCUGUUUGGGUUUUUAAGCAAUUGAUUGGAUACAAUAUCAUUGCUUUUUGCCACGUAAGUGUGCAUUUUUAUUGACCAAUAUUAUGGCUUAGGCUGAUUAUAUAUUGUGGUCAUUUUCUAGGCGGUUGGUAAAUCCUUUAUGAGUUUAUUUAUUCGGAUUUUACACCACAUAUGCCAUAUAUUUCCAGGUGUGGUGAAACCAUGUGUCUUCUAGGGACUUAAGCACAUCUGUUAAAGCAGUGUGCGCAUGGCGUAUGCCCAAUACUUUGGAAAUUUCUUUAUUCACAAUAUACAAGCUUCUUUAUAGCUAUUUUGCUAUAUCACUCAUCAUAUUUUACAAAGCAGUCGGUAUAUCACUUGGAUCAUAUUAUUCGGGGAUUCACACCGCAUAUGCUAUAUAUUGGUAUCAAGUCACUUGGUUGACUACGAUUAUCAAAACCACUCAGUUGGUGCAUCUAUUAGAUACAUCUAUUCGAUGCACCUGACUUUAUUUUUCAGCCCUCCACAGUCUUCAUAUUUGGUAAAAGUACUCGGGAGAUCAUGGUGAGGAUGAUUGAAGCACUCGGCUUUGGAGUAAUCUAGUUCGAGAAAAGAUUAUCUUUCCGACUGUGAAGGUCUCAGGGGCUACUGUGGAGAUUAUGGGUACCCCAUACCCACACGGCAUGGUUAUCCGACUAGUAAUAGGGGAUAACAUAUAUCUAUGGAAUAUGUAACCGAUCAUGACUUGGGUAUUACGUUUCCUUUUAUAUUAUGGAGCGGCCUAAAGUCCUGAUUCGAUAAUAUUGUAAAAUAGAUUUAGGAAACCGAUACCGUAUUGGUUAAGGUUUCUAUCUUGUAAUCCUGCCCCCCAUCCUAUAUAAGGUGGGCAGGAGGCCCUCUAGGGGGCAUGAGACAACCUGAUCGUCAGAUCAAUACACACUCGGCGGAUUCAAAUCCCCAAACAGGAGUAGGGUAUUACCUCUCAUUGAGAGGGCCUGAACCUGUCUAAAUCCUUUGUCUCUGCAUCCAUCCACUUUAGGUCUCGUCCGCUACCCCCUUUUAUUAUUGCCGAAUUCAUGUUUCGACAAUAUCGAAUAUACUAGAAAGUAACCGCAGCUUCGCGCGGAAGUAUACAUAGGCCAGGCCAAUAGGAUGCAGUGUGUUCCCUAUUAAUUAUCAUACCUUGUCAUCAGCUAAAUAAGGCAUUAAUCAUAUUCUGAUUGGCAUGCUCAUAUUGCAAAGCCCCAAAAUCCCUCAGUUCCCUUCGAGAAAAAGAAAACUAUCGGUUCCAUGUUUUACCAUCGUGUUGUUCUGCAGAAAUGAUUAUUUUCUGUUUGAUGGCCAUUUUGAAUAGAUAGAAAUUUACCAAAAGUUAUAAAUAGAUAGAAAUGCAUAUAUUAUAAAUAUACCAAAAGUUAGUGUUGUGCAUAAUCCAUAUAGCAAAAGUAUGCGGUCUUUAUCAGAUAGGUUAUCAAGCAGAGCGACUAUUUUGACUGUGUGUUUGAAUCAAACGAUAAUCAGUGUUUUCUUCACUACUACUUCUCUACGAUAAUAAUAUUAUAAAUAUUUAUGUAUUAUAUUGAAUAAUUAUAUGGUCGUCGUGGAACAUCUAAAGUAAAACCCUAGAGAAUUAAGACACUUAAGAAUCAGUGAAUCAAUAACAUCCUUUAUAAUAGUAAAUAUUGACAGAAGCAAUUAUAUAAAUAAUAAGUAAAUAGUAUCAUAAAGCAUUUUAUUAGAUGGAUUAGAUUUUCUCCGAUGUUUCAGAAAACUAAUAUGUGAUUCCAAAGUAUAUGAAUUGUACUGUAUAUUAAAGUUCUUCAGCAUAAUAUAUUUGAGCUAUGGACUCAAGGACAACAAGGUCCCGUCAAACAUUUAAGUUUCAUAAUAGUAAAAUUAUAUAAAGAAUUAUCACAGCUUGCUUAAGCUUCAAAUUUGCUUUUAACUACAAAAUCAUUCCAAUGAACAUGGCAGGCAAACCCCAAACAUCUUCUCUAGUUUGUUACUGUCAUAUAAUUAUAGAGAGCAUGCAAAGCACACUUGUGGUAAAAAAAAAACUUAACAUCAUUGAUUCAAAGUACAAAGAACUUGUCGAAUGAAAAUUUUUCUUUAGACCAACAAUGCAAUUUUUACUCUAGGAUAUACUUGUAUACUCCAUCUCGAAUAAAUGCAAUUCUUACUCUAGGCAGUCUAUACAUUACCCUGCUCAGUCAUGACUCAAAAUUAGUUCCAAGAAUAUGUAAUUAACGCAGCAAUUAAUCAUGUUUGAGGUGACUCCAUUUGUGAAGAUGAACUCUGCAUUAAAAAAGGAAAGUAUUACAUAUUAUGCAAUACUAACAGAUAUAUAGGCACUAUUCUUCUCAUCCCGAAAUCUGAUGAACUUGUAGAUAUGAUUGCUGCACUGGAGACGGUAAUAAUUUUUUCAAUAACAUUUGGAAAAAGAAAUCAAUAGAACAAGACAAUGAUGUGAACAAAUAUUAUCGAGAAGCAAGAAAGGGCAAAACUUAAGGAGUGCAGUAAAUAAUUCAUCUACAGAAAUCAUGACCAUAUCCAUAUGGUAAUCGAAUGAUCUUGGAUGGGAACACUUUCACUUUCUGCAUUGGACACUGAAAGAUCAUUAUCUCGUGGUAGUCCUGGAUGAGUUAUACAAAUCCUUGUAGCAAAAUCAGAGCAGCUUUUAAAAGCUUAUCGAUCUCAGUUUGAGCAGCCAACAGAUCAAGCUUUCUCAAGGUUACUUCUCAACCUAGGAUCAAUCAGCAAAGAACAAUUCUAAUUAUAGGAUCAGCUAUGGACAUCAAACAAUAAUUGCUUACAACAAUUUCACAUUUUUCUAGAACCAUACAAAAUAUGCAUUGUGUUCAUGUCCACUCGCCUGCAGUCCGCUCCCCAUCCAUCUAUGCACUGUCAGGGGAAGGGGAAGGGGAAGUGGACUCACGAGCUGGCGAGGAUGACGACCGAGAGAGGGGCAAGAGAUUAGAAAGGUAGCGGCAGCGGCUAUGUUGACGGCUACGGAUGGGAUCGACCACUAGGCGGCGGAUUGAGCGCCUUAACAUCGAAGUCCAGCCCCGGCGCCCGGCCAUCGAUCCCAGUCGAUUGCUGCGCCAAGCUCGACCACUGGCCUGCCGGGUCAAGCACAUCAGCAAGGAAGAAAGGGGGCGAGGAGGAGGCGGCGGCGCUCGGCUCGCGAGAUGAGAAUGCGCGGGAGAGGUAAAGUGAGGGAGGCGCUGUGGGAUAGGGUUUCUAGGGGCGACGCUUGACGAAUCGGCGAGGUCCGGCACUGAUGUGGAGCGGCGGUUGCCCGGCUCGCGACUUGCCGAAGGAGCCGAGGAGGAAGAAGCGAGGCCGCGAGAGGAGACGAUUUCUCUGGAAGGGAUGUCACCUUUUCCGUUUAACCCCCUGAGAAAUCUAAAAUUUACAGUUAGAUCCUUUGUUCCUUCUAUGCCGUUGUUUUGUUAUCCAACGGAUGCAGGGUGAGAGCCAAUUCCAUCAAUUGCGCGAUGCCACGUGGCGGGGCUGUCCGGCCGAGAACGUGCCCGGAAUUCGGUAUAAGAGAUAGUAACAAGUGGUUCUUCACGUUAUUUGAUACGGAGUAGUACUACUAAGUCUAAGUUCGCAUGUUUAAGGUAGCGUCUAAGUCAAACAAUGAUGGCCGGUCAACGGCCAUAACGACACAAGCUAGCUAGCUUGUGCGAUGCAAUGUUUCGAAGCAUCGAUUUUUUACCAUGAACCACACCCCCUGCUUAAGACCAAUGACCACCAACAGUGGCUAUCCGAGUUUGACAGUCAACCUUAAACCUUCACAUGAUGGCGGCAUUCUUAUUGACAAAUUGUUUACUUCUAUCUGCCUUUUCAGCUGUGAUGUUUAACAAUAUGCUAUCUGGCACAUGCACGAUAUCACUAAGAUAAUGCUUGGGGGUGGUCAAUUUUCAUUUGAAAUCUCUGGUUCCUGCACAAGCAACUUUCCUGCGCUCAGGUAUAGGCGUAUAGCUUGACACUCAAAUUAAGUACAUGUACCACUUGAUUUGUGUCUAGUGUAAAUCGCAUUAGCCAUCGAUUUCGAAUAUUAAAGAAAAGAUCGCAGUGAAAUAUUCCUGAUUGGAAGAUGCUUGACGGAAUAUAUGCAAUAACUGACGUGAUCUUUUUUAAAAAGGGGAAUUUUAGGUACCGCUGAUAAUAAUGAAUGAAUAAAGACCGUCCAUUACUUUUCUAACCCAACGGAUUAAUAUACCAGUUAAAUUUAGGGUUGAAGAAAUUAAGAUGAAAUUCUUUUGUUCACAAUACUUAAAACCGUGCACAAUUUUCAGCAAAAUUAGAUGGAAAAUAGGCCAUAACGCAUAUUAGCGAUAAAAAAUAAUUCGUAAGUAAUUUUUUGUGUGUGUUUUAGCGACUCAAUAAUCAAAUGCUAUAAGAUUCUAGUAAGAUGAGAAAAAAGAAGCACCAAAAUCAACUCUAAAAUUAAAUUUACAAGGGUUAAUUCGCGAGUAAUAACGGUAAUAAUCUGGGUAUCGUAUCCAGCACAUGUCUCUUCACGCCCGGAGAUUCCAAUCCGGGUUAACCAACCUUAUCGCCGCUGAAUGAGACUGACGACCCAACGAUCUGCAGCAAGUUAAUUAAUUUUAUGUGCGUCGAUGCCGCACUAUAAAUUAGUCAUGCACAGUUGCAUCCAUGGCUGCCAAGCUCGAACAAGCAAUUCUCAGGGAUAAUCACACGAUAGUAGAGCUUAAUUAGUAUCAUCAACCGUGCCACGGUGCCGAUCGAUCAGCGACACAACAAUUAAGCUCUUCAACAUGUCGUGCAAUUCUGCCGAGGUCGCGGCCAACGACGGCAGCAGCAAUGGCGGUGAGAAGCAGCAGCAGCAGGAGGAGGAGGUGGUGUGCGUGACGGGAGCGGGAGGCUUCAUCGGAUCAUGGGUGGUGAAGGAGCACCUCCUCCGUGGCUACCGCGUCAGGGGAACAGCCAGGGAUCCCACCAAGAACGCCCACCUGCUCGCGCUCGACGGAGCCGGCGAGAGGCUCACCCUGUGCCGCGCCGACGUCCUGGACUCCGAGAGCCUGCGCGCCGCGUUCGCCGGAUGCCAUGGCGUCUUCCACGUCGCCUCCCCGGUGUCCAAUGACCCUGUGAGUUCACUGUUCAGAAAGACAAAUUAUAUAAUUGCUUUGUUUGAUCGAGUAGACGAGUACUUACAGAUGGCUGCUGCUGCUCCGUUUGCUGCAGAAUCUGGUGCCGAUCGCGGUGGAGGGGACGAGGAACGUGGUGAACGCGGCGGCGGACAUGGGCGUGCGGCGCGUGGUGUUCACGUCGUCGUACGGCGCCGUGCACAUGAACCCCAACCGGAGCCCCGACACCGUCCUCGACGAGACCUGCUGGAGCGACCCCAAAUUCUGCCGCCAAACCGACGUAAGUUCAGUUCCCUCUCUGCACUGUACCAUGCGAUUCUCAAUUCGGAAAUCUGAGACGCACCGUGACAUGAACAACGACGACGCAGGUAUACUGCUACGCGAAGACGAUGGCGGAGAAGGCGGCGGAGGAGGAGGCGGCAAAGCGAGGCGUGCAGCUGGCGGUGGUGCUGCCCUGCGUGACGGUCGGGCCAAUCUUGCACCCGGCCAUCAACACCAGCAUCAACCACGUCGUCCGCUACCUCACGGGCGCCGCGCCCACCUACCCGAACGCCGUCGCGGCCUACGUCGACGUCCGCGACGUCGCCCGCGCGCACGCACUCGUCUACGAGCGCCACGACGCCCGCGGCCGCUACCUCUGCAUCGGCGCCGUGCUCCACCGCGCCCAUCUCCUCCAGAUGCUCAAGGAACUUUUCCCACAGUACCCCGUCACUUCCAAGUACGUAGUUGCAUAUAUAACGUUGCAUGAAUCCUGUGCCGUCAAAGCCACAUAACUUUUUUCUUUGACAUAUAGGCUCAAUAAUCAUUAGGCUCACAUGUCACAUGUCAGUGAUAAGGCACCGUGCAUUUGAUUAUAGAGGAUCUCAAUUCUUAUGAUAGAUGCAGUGCCCUUCUCAAAUUAUCACGUAUUGAUCAUGUUGUGAUUUUCAUUUCUGGUUAUUUUUUUUAGGUGCAAGGACGAUGGGAAUCCGAUGGUGGAACCGUACAAGUUCUCGAACCAGAGGCUCAAGGAUUUGGGCUUCGAAUUCACACCAAUGAGGAAGUGUCUGUAUGACGCAGUCGUAUGCAUGCAACAGAAGGGGCACCUCCCGCUGGUUGGUACCGCCGUACCGGACCAAAAUGUGACCUCUAAUACGAGCUCGAUCGUCUAAGGCAACUGGUAGAUUCGAGUAAUCUUCUGAUGUUAUCACAAUAGCAGAAAUGGACUGUAGUCUAGGUUAUAACGGUUUAUGUUAACCCAAGGAGUUUCCACAGAAAUACUACUCGAAAAUAUCUGAAAUUACUAGCGAAAUGUCUAUGCUUUGCUACGGAUAAUAUAAAAUGUAUUGUAAUGAAAUAUGUAAAUAUAUGUUAUUGGCAAAUAUGUAUUAGGAAUGACCAGUGUAAAAAUACAAUGUAUAAAUAUCCAAAAUUACAUCCAACAAUAAUUAAUUUUCAGUAAAGAAAAGGAUGAUCAAGAAUAUUUGAUUUUAACACAUGUUCUAUAGUAUAAUCAGAUAUCACUAAAAUUUGAAACAAAAAAAAACUUAAGACUCUUGUCAAAUAUCAUACAAGAGCACCUUUUAUAAUGAAUGAUAAGGUCCCAUGAAGGUAAUGGUGAAUGGAAAUCUGGAUUUCAUUUGAAUUGAGUACUAACCAGAGCUCUAACGUCUGAUGAAGGUCUCUAUUAUUCAGAGGUGGAGAUUUAUUUGAAGUCUGAUGAAAGUAUAAUAUUGAGACGUUGUUGGAAAGGUAUAACUCUAGAGUAACUAGUAAGAGAAGUGGAGUCGGGUAUCUAAACUCUGGAGCAGAUUCAAAUUGUAUUGUUUUCAAAUUGUUUAAAACCUUAAAAGAGUAUUCAAACUGUUUUUCCUUGGUUGCAAAUCCUGUAUGGUUUUCAAAUAAUGUUUAACAAGUUCUAACGAAGGUAUGUCUGAAGCUUUAGUUUUUAAUAAUCUGAAUGAUCAAUUUCAGAUUAGUAUUUUUCUAUAUCCUAUAAUCAUAAGACCAAAUAAAAAUUUAAACAAUGUAUUGGUUGGGGUGCGCCAGGCCCGGGCAGCAGUGCAACGCCUGGGCGACGCAUGAGGGCCCCAGUGGCAAGCCACUGUAGUGGGCCCUCCCCCACAAAAAAUAAAUUUAAUAUCAAAGUGGACACAUGGCCCACAUAUCAGAUAUUAAACUGAUAAGAACAGAUACUACACUUGAUCUUAGCCAAAAGGCCGAGAAAGGUAUGAGUUGCUUAGUCCAACCCUGCCUGCUUGUAUACAGAGCGCAGCGCCAUCUACUACCCUCCGUCUCCGAGGUGGUACUAAACCGAGUGCCAUCCAUCCAUCUGCCCGGUGCAAGCGCGGAUAUGGGCUGGCAUUUCCCUUUUAGGGCCGAAAUAUGGGCUGGAUUUACUGCUGUUGCGUGUUACUAGUGGUAAAGGCCCAAUACUAGAACUGGGCUGUCUAUAUCCGUCACGGUCCACGGUGGUAAAUGGGCCGGCCCAGCAAGGGCUGGCUCUUCUAGAAGAGAAACGGACUGCUCUCUCGCCCUGGCGUCGCAGCCAUGGCUAGCGCCCACAAUUGAAGGCGAGGACGAAGACGUCAAGAAGUUGUUGUUCUAAACUGAGUCAAGUGAACGGUGAAUCUAUUUGGUUAGCUCUUCUAUUUCGGCGGAAUUUGUUGUCAUGAGGUCACUAUUGCCGCAAAUAUAAGUGGUUCUUUUACGUGUGUUUUGGCACCAUUCAUUGUUUAACUGUGUGCUGGUAGUGUCCGAGUCAAUUAGUUAGUCAAACAUGAUGGUCGGCUAAAUGGCCAUUGGCCAUGACAGUAUGACACUAGCUUCUGCCGUGCGAGGUUUUGAAGAUUUUCCCAAAAAAUCUUUAUCCCCUGCUUGAGACCAGUUACCAGCAGUUAUCCGAAUCUAUCUAUCUAUCUAUUAUUAUUAUAUUAUUAUUAAAGGAAUAGAAAAAUGAGCCUCCACGUUCGCUCUCAUGGCCUAGAAAUUCUCACAUUAAUCGAAGAAAAAGAAAAAGCAGAGUCCAUAGAAAUACAAUUUAGAAAUAGCUGAAAAUCGGAAUUAAAAAAUAAGGAAUAUUAGAAGAGGAGACUAGAGUCCAUAUAGAAAUACAAUUUAAAAAUAGCUGAAAUUCGGAAUUAAAAAAUAAGAAAUAUUAGAAGAGGAGAGUAGAGUCCAUAUAGAAAUACAAUUUAGAAAUAGCUGAAAUUCGGAAUUAAAAAAUAAGGAAUAUUAUAAAAGGAGACUAGAGUCCAUAUAGAAAUACAAUUUAGAAAUAACUGAAAUUCUGAAUUAAAAAAUAAGGAAUAUUAGAAGAGGAGACUAGAGUCCAUAUAGAAAUACACUUUAGAAAUAGUUGAAAUUCAGAAUUAAAAAAUAAGGAAUAUUAGAAGAGGAGACUAGAGUCCAUAUAGAAAUACAAUAAGGAAAUAACUGAAAUUCGGAAUUAAAAAUAAGGAAUAUUAGAAGUAGAGUAUAGAGUCCAUAUAUAAAAUACAAUUAGGUAAUAACAGAAAUUCGGAAUUAAAAAUAAGGAAUAUUAGAAGUAGAGUAUAGAGUCCAUAUAGAAAUACAAUUAAGAAAAAAAAUAGAAAUUUAGAAUUAAAAAAUAAGGAAUAUUAUAAGUAGAGUAUAGAGUUCAUAUUGGAAUUUAGAACCAACUAAAAUUCGAAAUAAAAAGGAGCCUCCACGUUCGCUCUCAUGGCCUAGAAAUUCUCACAUUAAUCAGAGAAAAAGAAAAUGCAGAGUCUAUAUAGAAAUACAAUUUAGAAAUAGCUGAAAUUCAGAAUUAAAAAAUAAGGAAUAUUAGAAAAGGAGACUAGAGUAGUUAUUACACAUUAGUAGUUUUAAAAAGUUAUUGCAAAAUUUAAAAUUAUAUUGUCAUUGUAAUAUAUUUUAAUAAUAUAGUGAGAAAACAUAUAUGCUAUUAUAUGAGAGAAAAUAUAAUGAUGCUAGCCGCGCAGAUUGUGCGGGCCACCAUGCUAGUUAUUUAACAGUCAAUUUGUAAAUUCAAGUCUUCUUUUGCUUCAGAUGAUAGUAAUUUGUCUAUUGUCAAUUUUUAUUGUAACUUCAAAUAUUUUUCUAAGAGUGAAGUGCACCAGCGGUCCCUAAACUUAUGCGGGUGUGUCAUCUAGGUCCCUGAACUCUCAAAAUAUAUUUUUGGAUCCCCGAACUUGUCUUGUGUGUCGUAUAGGUCCAUCCGAUGACAUGGCAUGCCACGGUGACGCCUACGUGUCGGUGAGGACCCCACAUGUCAGUCAUAUGUAUAAAAAUAAAAUUAAAAACCAUAUUUUCUCCUCUCUACCUCCGCGUCGAACUCCACUGCCUCCGCUCACCGGCAUGCGCGCGCCGGCCUACGUGCGUAGGCUCCGUCGGCUCCGCCACACUGGCCUCCUCGCUGCGGGCGAAGCCGUACCCACCUCGGCCCGGCCAGGCAGCCUCAGCCGGCUCUCCGCGUCAAGCUCCGCCGCCUCCGCCUCCGUGCCGCAAGCGACGCCGCACUCGCCUCGCCCGAGGCCGCUUCCUCGGCACCCUCCGCGCCGCAAGCGACGCCGCGGCUUCUGUUCAAUUAGCCCGCAUAGUUAUGGUUGCAUGCACGGGCGGCAUGCAUUGGAUUCCCAUGCUGCGUGCAUAUGUAGCAUGCAUGGGCGCACGCUACGCGCAUGGCGGCUAGCUCCGCCUAGCACUCCGCUGGCUUCAGCCGAGUAACCCGCAUGCCGCUCCACGACCUCCACUCUCGCCUCUCGCCACGGCCAAGGCCGUUCCGCCUCAGCUUGAGCUCCGGCUCGCCGCAAGCGCCGUCGAGGGACCAACUCCGCGCGGGCCACGGAGUCACCUCCGCGUCGGCAAGCCUCCGCGUCCGCGCGCGGCUCCAUCGCCUCCGCGGCCACGCGCGACUCUGCCAACGCCGAGGGGCUCCGGCCGUUGUGGUUGUCCGCCUCGGCGUUGAGCCACGGCUCCGUCACCUCAGCGAUCACGCGCAACUCCUAUGCUGUCAACGUUGCGACCUCGCGCGGCUCGCCGUCACUGCCGCCACGUGCGACUCCGCCGGCCGCGCGCGGCUACGUCGCCUCCCCACCCAGGCGCGACACGGCAAACCCCUCCACGCGACACGGCGGCCAGACCGCCGCAGCUACUCGCUGGCCUCCGCUCGGUAGCACGUGUGGAUAGAUGCAUGCAGUGCACGGCUCUAUUCACGUGGCAAGGUGCAGGAGCGUGGCAAUCUGCAGCCAUGCCUGCGUUCGGGGACCUAUAUGACACGCAAGACAAGUUCGGGGACUUAAAAAUGCAUUUUGAGAGUUCAGGGACCUAGAUGACACGCCCGCACAAGUUUAGGGACCGCUGGUGCACUUCACUCUUUUUCUAAUAUCGAAUGAUGGUGAUAUUUUUGUUGUUAAUUGUUGAGCUUUUCUUGAUUCGUUAGAAGUGAUAUUAUGGGACACGCAUGAUAUUAAUAAGAAGAUGUCUAUAACAAUCUUGUCUCAAACAAUCCGAUAUCUAUACUACUAUAAAAAAUAAAAAAUAGUACCGGUGGUGGUCACCACCACCCUCAACUAUCACGUGGGAAAAAUAUGAUAGCCGAAUAUUCUCAUUAUGAAAUUUUUCGUUACCCUAAACAAUAGAAAUACUUUUUUUAGAGGCUUAAAAAUAUAUACAAUGAACUAUUUUAUAAAAUAAGCUGUUGCAAUGUACGGCCAUUAUGCUAGUAAAAGCAAAAUUGGCCGGCAUAUGGAAAUAGAGAAUGCAGUACUGGUGAUUGGAAUACCUGACCGCAUAUGCAGACGUCAUCCCUAACGUCAUCUUGUUAAAAGGAGGGAACAGAUAGCCCACAAUGAUAUUCGCCUUGUCUGGAAGAUACCUUGUAAUCUAGGUACAGUACUAAAUCGUUACUACCUCCGUCCCAAAAUAAAAAUAUUUGGAUCUUGAUACGGUCUCCGAGAUAUUAUUUUAACUAAUAAUAUAUAUAAAAAUAAGAUGUUUUAAAUAAAAAGAGUGGUAUAUUAUGAUAGUUUGUUUAGUAAUAAAUCUACCAACAUUAAUUUUAUAUGAUUGUUUUUUUUUAUAUUUUUACUAUUAAUAGUUAAAGUUAAAAAUGUUAGAUAUUUUAGGAGGAGGAGGGAGUAGAUUCUUUAGAUUUUUGCAUCUCCUGUAAAGGCAGCUUACGUAUCGAAUUUUGAAACUAACCAUGUUUCUAUGCCGGUGUAGUGCAGACUGGAGCAACGGCGGGCGAUCGCGCCGCUGAAUUAAUCGGAUUACUAAUUGACAGCCCAAUGAUUUUGCAGCUGCGCCUCCCUCACCAACCCACGACCCGCUGAAUAUGUUAGCCACUCCAUGGCUGAUGCCGCACUAUAAAUAAGCCACACGCCCUCCAUGUAUGCCUCACUCGAGCUCGAACAAUCUAUAUAUUGUCAGAGACGCACACUUUACUGAUCAGCUAGUUAGUCCCAGUUCUGAAGAACAACUGGAAAAAGAAAAUCGAGCUGUAAAAAUAUUAGUACCAGUGAUCAGUGACAGUUCAGAGCAUCAACCAUGUCGUCCAACAAUUCCAUGGAGGCCAACAAUGGCGAUGAUGAGAAGAAGCAAGAGCAGGUGGUGUGCGUGACGGGAGCGGGAGGCUUCAUCGGGUCGUGGGUGGUGAAGGAGCUCCUCCUCCGCGGCUACCGCGUGAGGGGAACAGCCAGGGAUCCCCGCAAGAACGCCCACCUGCUUGAUCUUGAGGGAGCCAAGGAGAGGCUGACACUGUGCCGCGCCGACGUCCUGGACUUCGCCAGCCUACGCGCCGCGUUCGCCGGGUGCCAUGGCGUCUUCCACAUCGCCUCCCCGGUGUCCAAGGACCCUGUAAGCUACUCUUGGCUUGCUUGUUUCGUCGAGUAUUUUACCAAUGCCGUGGCCGACGACUGAGCUGCUUGUCCGUUUUUGCUGCAGAAUCUGGUGCCGGUCGCGAUUGAGGGGACGAGGAACGUGAUGAAGGCGGCGGCGGACAUGGGCGUGCGGCGCGUGGUGUUCACGUCGUCGUACGGCGCCGUGCACAUGAACCCCAACCGGAGCCCCGACGCCGUCCUCGACGAGUCCUGCUGGAGCGACCCCGAAUUCUGCCAGCGAGAGGACGUACGUAAACAUAUGAGUAUUUGACUGUACAAAUGUUUAUCAGUUCAGAAAUCUGAAACGCACCGUACUUGACAUGACGAAUGCAGAUAUACUGCUACGCCAAGAUGAUGGCGGAGAAGACGGCGACGGAGGAGGCGUCGAGGCGUCGGCUGCAGCUCGCGGUGGUGGUGCCGUGCGUGACGGUGGGUCCCAUCCUGCAGCCGUCCGUCAACUUCAGCUGCCACCACGUCGUCCGCUACCUCACCGGCGCCGCGGCCACCUACCCCAACGCCGUCGCCGCCUACGCCGACGUCCGCGACGUCGCCCGCGCCCACGUCCUCGUCUACGAGCACCACGGCGCGCGCGGCCGCUACCUCUGCAUCGGCACCGUCAUCCACCGCGCCGAGCUCCUCCGGAUGCUCAAGGAGCUCUUCCCCCAGUACCCCGUCACUUCAAAGUACGUACUCCCUCCGUCUUAAAAUAUAACAAGGUUAUACUAGAUGGAGUCUGGAUGAGAUAUAUUCUAGUACAUCAAAUCUAGACAUGGGUAUCCUCUGUCUCAAAACCUUAUAUUGGAUGAGAUAUAUUCUAGCACAACGAAUCUAGACAUAUCCAUAUCUAGAUUUGUUGUACUAUGAUGGAGAGAGUAACAAUUUUUACACUACUCCAACCAUCCUAUAAAAAACCAAUCUGUUAGACUAGUAGAACACAUCCUAUUACUACGAAUCCGGACAUACAUAUAUUAAGAUUUAUAGUAUUAGGGCUGUCUUUAGAUCCAAACUUUGGAUCUAAAUUUCUAACUUUUUCCAUCACAUCAACCUGUCAUACAUACACAACUUUUCAGUCAUAUCGCACCAAUUUCAACCCAAACUUCUAACUUUGGGAGGAACUUAACACAGCUUAGAAUGUGUCACAUCUGAUUCUAGAUUCAUUUUUAAUGUGAUGAAGAGAAUACGAUUAUUGCCAUGACAAGAUCGAUCUGAAUUGUUACAAUUAAUCUUACAAUUUGCAGGUGUGAGGAUGAGGGGAAUCAGAUGGUGAAGCCGUACAAGUUCUCGAACCAGAGGCUCAGGGAUUUGGGUUUGGAGUUUACUCCACUGAGGAAGAGCUUGCAUGAGGCGAUCGAAUGUCUGCAGCGCAAGGGUCACCUGCCUGUUGUCACGGUGGCACAACAGCGUGCAUGUUUGUAGAACCAAGAUUUUAUACACGGUGAACUUCCAAGUUCCAAAGAUAAUAAAAGCAGAGACAUGACAGCGGCGGCAUAUGCAUAACAAAUUUAUAUUUUGGCGGCGGCUUAAAUUUGAAAUUUUGUCUACCUGAAGAAUAAAGUAGGAGUACCAUAUAAAGGGAAGUUCAGCGUGGAAGAACCCGUACUACUACUACUCCUAGCUAGCCAGUUCAUAUCGUAAAUCUGCAUGUGUAACACAAGUUCUUUCUUUGGUAUGAAUUACAUCUGUAUCUCUACUUUGUUCAUACUUCUACGAUAUAAAAUGAAAAAAAAUAUUAUAUAAUACCGAUCGAGAAUGUAUCUAAGAAACAGGAAUGAAAUUAAGGGAGGAAUAGCGCACCUCUCCUCUACUCUACAUGCAUCGAAAGGAUUCUGCAAUGAACACUCUCUGAUACAAAGCAUUCUGCAAUAGUAGUACAAUGAGAUUUAUUUGGAGAGUGGGAGAACACAAACCAAUUUAUCUUUGGAUCUUCUAACAACUUGCCUUCCACUUGGCUCAUCAUCACUUUGUUCGGUCCAUACAAACUGCGUGCGUGCUUGGGCCGCAUACAAACUGCAAGGGGUGGGUGCCCACGUACAGGGAGAGCAACGCAGGAGAACAACAAACAAAUUGGGAAAAAAAAUGGGGAUCUGUGGGGUUCGGAGAAGAAAACUCCGACCCCUUUGGAUAUAUUUGUAUUCGCCUCGAUCAACAUCUACGGGAGCGUGUGAUUAGUUCCGUUUAGCAACUCACACAUUCAGAGCGUACGCAGACUGUCGAGUCUGUGGUUCCAACCAUAAACCACGUCUGCGAUCGGCAGCUAGCAAGCAUGUGCAUGCUUGCUUCUAUGCUCUCCAGCAUUCAGGUACAUAUUUUUUAGAUAAUGGAAUAUAAUAUCCCGGCCUUUGCUAAAAAGAACUACAGCCAAUUAUUACAAAGAUCCACUCCAGAAGAGAGUGUAGUUCAAGACAAGUUGAACACACAAAACAAGAGAAGAGAUGACCCAAACUGAGAAAAGCAAAACAAAAUGUGGAGCUAGAAGGCCUCAUCAAAGCCUAGGACUGAAGUUUGCCAAUGCAUAGACCAAUGGCAAUAUCCUUGCACGAAGAGGUUUUUCCAAAGCGGUGCCCCCAAGGAGGAUGCGACGUGGAUCGCCGCCACCGCUUGUUCGGAAUCGAAGCAAGGUUUUCACCCGGAGAAUAUGGUAGGGAAAGAAAAUGGGUAUGCUAAAACAACGCCUCUAAGGAGGGGAACGACGCCAAACGGCGUCGCCGUUGUCAGCCGGCCAAAUGGCUCGGCAAGGCUUUCGCCCGCGAUUCCCUGUCCAAACCCACACCACCAAUCCGCACAAGAAGAAUCGUCGUCGGUCAACAACAUUGUCCCUUCAGCGAUUCGGCCAAGACCACCGCCCACAGUUCUUCCCGCCGUCGACGACGCGCCCGCACCCGGACUCCUCCUUCCCCGCCUCCACAUAUCACCUCCGCCGAUGACGCACCGUCAGUCGGAUGAUGGCCUUCAACCAUCGCCGCCAUAGGUAACAUCGUCGAUAGCCGCCACCGUCACUGCCACAGCCACCACCGUCAGCCACCAUCGCCAUCGCCACCGCCACCGCCACCGCCACCCCCGUCCAGCCGCCACCGUCGCUAGCCAGGGCCACCAGACGCCAGACGUCCAGAUCCGGCCGGGGUGACGCGGAUCGGAGGUGCAGCGCGACGCGCGGGUCGCUGGCAUCAUGGAGGAAGGCGUCACGGGCACGGCGUUCACAUCCGGAGCAAUGACGAGGGCCGGCGUCGCGGCACGAGCCGCAGUCCGCCGCCGUCGUCGCCAACUUCGUCUCCACCACAUCCGCCACCACCGCCGCCGCUAGCCACCCCCCGGCGUCGACCGACGUCGCCGGUCACCCCGGCCAAGCGGGGAGACCAGAUCGUCGCCCGUCGCUGGAGCCGCAUAGCCCCACCGCCACGCCGCCCGUGGAGCGCCCCCCUCCCCCCCGCUGCGCUGUCGCCGCGCCGUCCCGCCACCAUCGUCGCCACGCCCGCGCCGGGGCGAGGUGGAGCCGAGGAGGAUGGCCCCGCCGCCGCCAUCCCAGCGCGUCGCCCGGCUUUGCCGGCGACUAGCUCCGGCGGCGGCGAAGCACGGAGGAGGGAGGAGGAGGGGCGGCGGCAGCGGCGGCUAGGGUUUCGCCUCCGCCGAGGGGCUGGGUUGGGGCGAUCAGGUACAUAUACGUACUGAACAUGGCAAAGGCAUUUUGCAGAACUUGAAGCUUCAAAAAUCACAUGUUUAAGAAUUAAGAGAAAACUAUCCAAGGAAAACUAGGCCUAGUUUAAUUAGGGGGGGAGGGAUAAUCGAGCAAGGAAACAGCGCAGUCUCUGACUCUGAGAACUAAGGAACGAAUGGAAGAAAAAAGAGUGCGAUAUAUAGGCAGGUACAUCCGAGGGGACACGACAGCCAAGCCAAGGCUGUGUUUAAUUUUUGAAAAAAGUUAAAAGUUUGGAGAAAGUUGAAAGUUUAAAAAAAAGUUAUAAGUUUAUGUGUGUAGAAAAGUUUUGGAUGUGAUGUGAUGUGAUGGAAAGUUGGAAGUUAGGGGUGAACUAAACACGGUCCAAGCAUGGAAGCUAAUUUCAUGUCCCCUUCAGUUCAAUGGCUACGUUCAUUUGAUCAUUUCAUCUAUUAGCAUCGAUUCUAUUGCUAGCUGCAGGUGGCCAGAGAGAGGAAGAGAGGAGGGGAAGCGGACGGGCUAGGAAGAAUGGGAACUAAUGGGCCGGAUUGACUACUUUGCUACAUUGGAUUUAGAUGGGCUGAAUUUACCUUGGGUUGAAGAAAUUGGAAAAUUGGCGGUCCAACGGGGUUUGGAAAAGAAAACUCCGAACCCCUCCGAUCACACUGCUACCGUCCGAUUCAUGCUUAAUUAGAUUCAACGGUUUCGUUGAGAACAGGGCUGUCCAGCUUCGUUGUACUAGGUCCUUUUAGAUUAUUUUUUUUAUGGAGGGAGUAUUUUUCUUCUCCUCUGAGACACGCGUGACGUGAGUUUGUGACGGUUGAUGGUGAUGCGGUGGAUUGCGUUGUCUACCUUGCCACUCAAACGUUACUUAAAAACAGGUAAAGAAAAAAAAAUCACCUGUACCCGUAUUCAUGAUGCGUCGUGAUUCACGCACAUACAUUUGACUUGCACGACACAUUCAAAUUAAAUUUGACUUGCACGAUACUUUCGAGUCAUUGCAUUCCUUGUUAAGAGAAGGUAAACAUGGAACCCACCCACUCCAACAUUGGAAGAUGGAAGCAAGGUAAAAAUAAUACUCGCAAGUCAAAUUGCUCGAUCUUCACAUGAGCGAUCGAUACCGGCCGGUGUAUAAAUACAUGAUGGCAGUGGCUGCAGGCUUAUACACAAAAUUAAAACCUCGAUCGAUCGAACAACGACAAUCUUUCAACUAGCUCUAGCUCGGCAUCACCAUCACCAUCACCAUGUCGUCCAUUUCCAACGACAACAAUGGUGAUCAGAAGCGACAGCAGCAGCAGCAGCUGGUGUGCGUGACCGGAGCAGGUGGCUUCAUCGGGUCAUGGGUGGUGCGGGAGCUCCUCCUCCGUGGCUACCGCGUCAGGGCCACCGUCAGGGACCCCGCGGACCGCAAGAACGCCCACCUGCUCGCGCUGGAGGGAGCCCACGAGAGGCUCUCCCUGCGCC